rnacentral:lncRNA from 1 species
GAGCAACUCCAGUAGUUCUCUAAAAAAUAGCUUGCUAAAAUCAUGUUUAGCAAGUUGCUAAAUAGCUAUUGGAAGUAAAAAAUAACUUAGUCUCCAAUAGUUGCUCAUAUUUAGGAAGUAGUUCGAUUUUGAAUCUAGCUUUAGCGGCCCUACCUCUAUGAGAUCUGCCUGAUAAUAAGGUUGAGAGCAGAUGAUGUGAGAGCGGAAGAAAAAAGGCCGGUCGAUAUGAACUAUGGAUGAGUGGUGGUCCGGUGGCUCAACCUAUGAGGAAGUUGGGUUCGACGGUGAAGGAGAAACUUGCGUCAUACGUGUUUGACCUAGCUACCUCAUUAUGCUAGAAAAUGAAAAAAGAGCGUGCUAUACCUGGCUAUCUCACUGUGUGGGAAAGGGAAAAAUAAUCACGUUAGUGUGAAGAAAUUGACGUCAACUGUAUUUAGGGAGUUCCUACCGAGUUGCUAAAUGUGGAGAGUAAAUAGAGUUGAAUAGCAACUAAGUAAAUUUAGCAAGUCUAUUUAGAGAACCAUUGGAGAAGCAUUUUUCUGUUUACUUCUUAAAUUUAAGAUUUAGAGAGUUGUUUAGAGAACUAUUGGAGUUGCUCUUACUAGUCUAUAGCGCCGCUUCUCCAGUCUGAAUGGCAAUUGGCAAUAAGCUGGAGCGCUGGAUCGUCACGUGAUUAGGUAUCAAAGGAUCGGAUUGAUGCGGUUGUGAUGGAGCUUUACUUGCUCUGUCAUGUGGUGGCAUCGUUGGUACAAAAGACAAGUGCUAUUUUUUACUUGCCAUCCUUGAUGGAUGCAUGACGAAAACUAAACGCAUGCAACCGUGUUUAUCCCAUUACUCGGCGCAAUAAAUCCAACAAAUAUUAUGUUAAUAGUACUAACCUGGGUGUACCGUGUUUACGUAGCCGUGGCUCAACACGUAAAACAGAAAGUCAUGAGCAAGAGAAUCAAUGAAAUUAUAGUUUGCUAUUUUUACUGAGUCCAACUCCACGACGAAAGCACGUCGUAAUUUUUUUUAAAAUUUUGUUUUUGUUAUACUGAUUACUUCACUUACUUUGCAAUCUACUAAAAAACAUUAGAUCAACAUCUACACAGAGUCGUGAGCAUAUGAUAGUUGGUUGGAAUUGCAUUUUAUUGUUCUCGUUGAGUCUAACUUCGUUGGUAAGAAAGCGAACUAAAAGUUGAAGCGUUUUUUAAUUGAUAUUCGAUGAUUUCACUUGCUUUGCAAUCUACCCAAAAAAAAACAGUAGAUCAUCAUGCACACAGAGAGAGCCGUGAGCACGAGAGUUGGAUGGAACUACACUUUAUUAUCCUCGGUGAGUCCAACUCUAUCGAUACGAAAGCGAGCUAUGUGUUGAUAACUGAUGAAUUCGCUUACUUCACAACCUGUCAAAACCAGUUGCGCAAAAAAAACCUGUGGGCAAGGGAGUUGGUUGGAAUUGUAUUUUAUUAUUCUCACCGGGUCUUACUCAGUUGGCACGAAAGCAAGCUAGUAGUCGAAACGAUUUUUGUACUAAUGGCUUUGCUUGCUUUGCAACCUACUAAGAAACAAUGGCUCAACAUGCACACGCAAAGUUGUGAGCAUGAGAGUUGGUUGAAAUUUCAUUUUAUUAUCUUUAGCGAGUCCAACUCUAUCGAUACGAAAGCAAGUCGAAAGUUAAAGCGUGUUUUGCCGUGUUUGUUUAUCGGUGACUUUACUUUGCAACGUACCAAAAAAAUAGUGGCUCAACACGCAUACAGAAAACUGUGGGCAAGAGAGUUGGUUGGAAUUGUAUUUUAUUAUUCUCGGUGAGUCUAACUCCAUCUACACGAAAGCAAGCCCAUAGUUGAAGCGUUUUUUCUACUAAUGACUUCGCUUGCUUUGGAACCUACUAAAAACAAUGGCUUAACACGCACACAGAAAGUUGUGAGCAUGAGAGUUGGUUGGAAUUGCAUUUUAUAAUCCUUAGUGAGGUCCAACUCUAUCGAUACGAAAGCAAACCGAAAGUUGAAGCGUUUUUGUCUUGUUAAUAAUUUAUGACUUCGCUUACUUUGCAACAUACCAAAAACAAUGGAUCAACACAGACAUAGAAAACUGUGAGCUAGAGAGUUGGUUGGAAUGGUAUUUUAUUAUUUCUGUGAGUCUAACUCCAUCAACACGAAAGCAAUACCAUAGUUGAGCGGGUUCUUUACCAAUGACUUCACUUGCUUUGCAACCUACUAAAAACAAUGGCUUAACACACAGAGAAAACUAUGAGCACGAGAGUUGGUUGAAAUUGCAUUUACUAUCCUUAAUGAGUCAGCUUUAUUGAUACAAAAGCAAGCCGAAAUUGAAGCGUUUUUUGUUGUGUUGAUAACGAAUGACUUUGCUUACUUUGCAAUCUACCAAAAACAGUGGUUCAACACGCACACAGAAAACUGUGAGCAAGAGACUUGAUUGGAAUUGUAUUUCUUAUUCUUAGCGGGUCUAACUCCAUUGAUGUAACACCUUAAAUCCAUCAUUUAAAAGCAAUUUGAUUUUAUUUGAUAAAUCCAUUAGAGAGGAAAAUUAUCUUCAAGAGUUAGGAAAACAUUCAUAAACAACUAAUUAACUUUUGGAGUAUACAAAAUUUUCACUCAACUGUUUGAUGCAUUCAUUUUUGGAGCAUGGCUUUUGUUUGUUAAUUUAUUUCAAAGGUUUAUUUAUUUUUGGAAUUAUUACAUUUUUCUGAAUAUAUAUAUAUAUUAUAUAUUCAUAUAGUUAAAAAAGAAAAAAACCAGCGCUCGACCAGACCAAUUUUGGCCCAGACGAGGCCCAUUAGAGCAGCCGCGCGCACCCUCAUCCUCCCCAACCGAGCCCCUCCUUUUCCCCCUUCCUCCCUCUAUGGCACGCGGACCCACCCCACGGCCCUCUCCUCCCCCUCGCGCGUCGCGCGGCAGUCUGGGCACAACACGCCGCCGCCGUGGCACGGCUCGCCCAGCGCCGAGCCGGCUGCCCGCCUGACCGCCUCCCCACCUCUUCCCCUUCCUCGCAAGUGGAGCACCAGGAACCGUCGUGCCCCUCCCUCUUCCUCUCCCCCACUCUCGCUCCCCAUUGAGGUCACGCCAUUGAUGACGUUAAUGGCCGCCGCCGACCAUUACUUCCUCUCCGGCGCGCUCUCUCUCUUCUCUCUCUAUAAAAACUCAAUGCCACACCCAUGGACACUUCCCUCGGCCGCCGAGCUCGCCCACGCCUCUCCUCCCUCUUUGUCGUUGUACUUCGCCGCCGGCCGACCUUGGCUCGCCGUCCUCGACGUUCGUCGCCACUAGAACACCUCUGUCCACGUCCUCGCCACCGACUCGAGCUCGGAGCGCCACUAUCCACCUCCCUUGAUCGCCUCAUCCACCGCCGUCCGGAACUCCACUCGCUGUCAGCCCCUGAGCGCAAGAAACAGAGGGGGGAAGGUAGAAGAAGUGGAUUUUUGCUAGCUAGCCCCUGGUGUUUGUUUAAUUUGUGCAGAAUUAUUUUAUCAGCUCAAAAGUGUUAUAUUAGGUCCUUGCAAUCUUCCGUUCUACCCCUAGAAGUCUAUGGUUAAUCCCGUAUGUGACCCCUGCAGCAACUAUUCUAUUUUAAAAAAUUUAAUUGAACCCAUAUGUAAUGAUGUUGAUCAUACAUGUUUUAUAUGUAUGUGUUAGCAUGUUAGAAUACUUUUUUGUGACAAGAUUCAUAUAUCCACAAAUCGAUUUAAAUUAUGUUGUUGUUGUUGUUUAAUCGUAGUUUCUGCUAAUAUAAGAAAUAGGAAGGAAUGGUAGACCAUAUAUUUGUAGCAUAAGCGCUAGAUGAUUAUUUAUGAGUCUUCCAUUGCUUAUAUUGUGAUUUGUAUUUGUAAACAAGACAAAUUUUCAUAUGCGCAAUAUAUGCACAUUGGUUUAUGCACUAAGAAAUAAUAGAGUUUUUAUUAAUAUUGAGAUGAUAUAAUUAUGAUCAUGCCCACUAUAGUCUAAAAGGUAGUUUAAUAUAAUUCUUUUAAUGAACCAUACAUUAUGUGUCUUCUAGAAUAACUUCGUGGCGUCUAAUAUAGUACCUUUUAGAAAGAAAGAAUAAAACUUAUAUGUGACUUGUGUCUUCCGGUAGAAAUAAAUUAAUUAGUAAUUAAACCAAAUCCAUAGAGGUUGAUUUAAGCUACAUCUAUGUUAUGAACUUAUAUAGUAUUUGUUUCCACAGUUAACUUGCCAUAUAAUCGUUUCUAGGGAAAUAGUGAAGUAAAAUCAAUAAUAUUUUAUGCCAUAUGCGAAUAGAGUAACUACCACAAUAUUUUGGUUUAUAUUAUUAUAAGUUACGAACCAAGCUAUAUGAUUGGAUGUUCUCUUUCUUUUUUUAUAAUGUUGAAUUGUAUAAUGUAUGUUUUAUUGUUUGAUUGGUGUAUGUUUAUUUAUUGGUGUAUAAUUUCUUUUGUACGUACGAUAUGUGAAUCUAUAAUAGAAGCUGAUUUUGUGGUAGAAGAUCAGAAUACGUUCGAGGACGAUCCACAGGACACGUUUGAGUAAGGCAAGUGGAUUCUCCCUUUGCAUUUCUGUUCGUACCCAAAUAAUACAUAUAAUAAUGUUUACUUUUGAAUAUUUGCAUAAUUUGAUGGAUUUUGCCUAAAUAGGACUACUUAGAAAUACUAACCAUAUUCGUUGUUUAACCUAGGAUUUAAGCCAUGCUUAUUAGUUAUGUUGUUGCUCAAUUUUAUCACUAUGAUGUUACUCUUUGAAGAUAUUAUUUUUCCAGAAAUGAAAUAUAUAUUGUUGUUUUAAUCUGAUGGUUAAAUAAGAUCGAAUUUUAUUAAACGGAACAUGGAGUGACCACCUAAGAUAAAAGUGUAACCACGAGUGCUAUUAUGGCUCUGGCUUUGGUAAUUUGCUUAAUUUGCUUAGUACUUAGCAACCUUUCCUGAAAUAUGGGCAAGAGGAGGAGCGGUUGAUAGUGGCAGCUCAUGUUAACAUGGGGACGUAGUCUUGGCUAAGCUGCCUCGCCUAGAGGGCCUCCACACCGACUUAGAAACCUUAGCUGGUUGUUUCGUACUAUGUGUAUUUUGUGAAAACCUCAUAAUGGACCCCUAGCCAUUCACCUCAGCAGUGUUUACGGGUCCGUACAACCCAGGCUAGAUGGGAUACAUGGCUUGUGGGUAAAGUUGUACCACCUCUGCAGAGUGUCAAACUGAUAUGUCAACCGUGCUCACGGAGUCACAGUUAAGAGCAACCUGGACCCUUACAUGAUAACUAGACUUAAAGAUGGAGAAUCGAUCGUGAUCCGAUGAUUUAUACAUGGUUUGCUUAAGUGGUUUCACUUAGGUGCUUUUGAUAUAAUCAUAUGCUUAUGAUUAAUUGGGAAUUUUGGGAUACACUUACAAUUAGUAAGUUAGGCGUUGUUAAUAAAAUAUUGACCAACUAAAAUGCUUACCGCUUAACCAUAGCCUACCUUGUUAACCUUGCAUAACUCCUCCCACUUGCUGAGCCCCCACCAUAAGUGAGCUCACCCCUUGCUAAAUUUUUUAUCAGAAGGUGAUGAGAAAGACUUUGACGAAGAUAUUGACGAUUACUGAGUCUAGCGACGCUCCGGUCAUCUUUCUGUGGGAGAUUACCCAUGUUAUUUCUGCUGUACUUUGAUGAUGAUACUAUUUAAGACUUUUUUUGUCUCGAUGAUGUAAUAAAGUUAUUAUACUCCCUUUACACAUUUAUUGCAUUGUCUUUUGAUAUAUUACACUUGUGACAUCAACAUAUGUGUGGAAAGUGGUUCCUGACACACAUAUGCUAUGCAUUCGGUUUUGCCCCAAAACCGGGUGUGAAGAAGUGGUAUCAAAGUUAUGCUGACUCUAGGUCGUUAGACUAGUUAGAAAUGGAAAGCCCAGUCUAUUCAAAAUAUGCUUAUUUUGCCUUUACAAAUUUAUUUUAUUAAUUUUGCCUUUUUAAAAUUCAACUAAGGUGACAUUUUCUUCUUGUAGAUGGUGCGCACUCUCCAAACGACCCGCGUGAACACCAACGGUAUCCCUCCACCCAGGCAGGCUCCUUUCUACCAGUUGUGGUGGAAGAAGUCCCGGUGGAGCACCACCUUCAUGUGGGGAAUGGAGUGAUCUUGGAGGACAGCUCUGAGGAGAUUUUGGCAACACACACUCCAUUGUCAGAGUCUCAUGCCUUUGCUGCUGGAGCUUCAUCUUCAGUACCGCCAGUGCCAGCACCUCAAGCCCCGACUCCUAUAGGCGAUGAUCCGGAUGAUUCUGGUGAUGGUGGAGACGAUGAUGAUGAGACAAAUGAGAGCACCUAGAGGGGGGUGAAUAGGUGAUCUUGUAAAAAACAACUUAACAAAACAAACUUGGACUAGUAUUAGAUUAGUGAAAGCUAAGGCCAAGUUUGAGAGAGGAGUAUGAGCAGAGAAAACUUCUUCACUUAAUUGCUCUUCACAAGAUGAGUAUUAAACUUAGAGCAAUUAUGAAGUGAAUAGAAGUAGAGAGAAUCGCACAACAAUAAAGACAAGUGACACAACGAUUUUAUGACGUGGUUCGAUCAAGUAGAAUACUUGUGUCACACCCGGUUUUAGAAGGCAAAUCGAAUGCGAACCAUGUACGUACCAGGAUCAGAAACUCACGUACACAGCGAUUACAUAGUUGGACAUCAUCACACAUUGCUCAAAGUAAAUAGCGGAAAGGUACUUUAUUACAUCAAGAUGUCCAUGACAUCCACAGAGUAACAUAACAUAGUCAUUAACGUGAUCAAAGUGCGGAAUACAAAACAUAGAGAUAUGGCCUUCACAUGCAGCUGACUGGGUUUUGCCACUAACACAACUAGAACUCAUCGUAGUCCUGAAACUCCUUAUAGUUCUCCAUGUUGCCUGCAUCUCCUCCUAAGCAUUGAUUGCAAUGGGGACAACCUGGGGUGGGGUGGUUUUUAAAGCAAGGGUGAGUACACAUCAACGUACUCAGCAAAUGUCUCGUUUGGCUAAAGUAGACUAGCUGUAUGUGGAGUUUGGGUUAAAGCAGUUGCUUUUAGUUGGUCAGGUAUUUAUUACUAUUAGUAAGCCAAGUUUUAGUAAUAAACCCAGUUAUUACCCAAAAAUACUCCCUUCAAGAGGAAAUACUAGAGACCAAAAUUAUUGUCAUCAACAGUUAAAAUCAUCAUAAAGCAUCCAAAGUUCUUCUAAUCAAAGAGGAUCCCAAGGCCACUCUUAACCGUGAGCACGACUGAUAUACCAGUUUCUAACACUCUGCAUAAGUUGCACACUUUACCCACGAGCUGUGAUUCCCUUUCCAGCCUAGGUUGUCCAGCCCCAAUCUUCACUAAUGAGGUCAAUGGCCAGGGAUUCACUACAUAGCCUUUACAAAGACUCCCCUGGUGCAUAGCUUCUCGUUAGGUUUCGCCAGUCGUACAAACACAGUACUCCUCCCUAAGGUGGGUGACUAACAAAACCAAAUCGAAUAAACCUCGGCACCCACCCUUAGCAGAGCGAGCACUAUGCCCCGACCCCCAUUGACGGCCCUUCGGCAAAGCCAACUACACCCCAGGUUUAUCUAAUUAAUCAGCUAAGGGCGUCCCAUUCCACCCUCAUGGUUGUACUGUUAUCCCGGGUGGUCACUCAACGAACAGGUCCUUAUAGAGAGGUACUCAUGAAAACAGCCUGAGUCCCCUAAAAUGCCAUAAGAACAUCAUCAUAAUCAUAAUAACAACAUCGUAUCAUAAAUAUUCACAUCAUGUUCGUUGAUUAAAGUGGAGCAAUAGCAUGAAGCUAACCAUAAUAACCCAAAAGGUAAACAAGGGCAAGAUAAAUAUAGACUAGUCAAUCCUUAGGUUUCAAUUAAGUAAUGCAGGACAGUGAAUUAUAAAGUAAGUAGGACAUAAUGGGUCACAGAACACUUGCCUUCACUAGGUUGCUGCUUAGAAAGGUCUUCGACAACACACUUAGGAACCACAGACUGCUCGUUGUCUACGCAAAGCGAUCAUGCAUUCAACACAUUUGGAUAAUGACAAAGAAACAGUACAUCAAACAUGUACAAUUAAGUGAACACCAGCUCGAAAGAACAGUAAAAACACAAGAGGGAAAAAUGUAGGUUCUAGGGUAGGCAAUUACAUCUAGAGGUUUGUGGUUCUCUAAGUACUGCUUAUCUCAAUAGAUUACAUAACUUAAAUUCAUUUAUCAUAAUGAAUUACUAAAAUUAUACCAGAGAUGGAUUCAUAUAUUACACACUAUUAACCUCACAAAGUUAAUCAUCUAAUUAACAUUAGGGGUUUCCUUUUAUUUUUCUUAUUAAUAAAUAAGUCACCACUUACACUAACCUAUAGUCUAGGCAUAAAAUUAGCACAUGCAGACAGUAAAAGGUUAUAAUUCAAAUAUGUAAAGAAUAAUCUUAUGAACAUUUUGCAAUUUGUAUCACACAAUUUGGAGUCCAUAUGCAAAAGAUAUGAAAUAAACAAGUUUUAGAAUUCAAAAUACAAAACUAGGUCUAAUUCUGCGAUAAACAAAAAGGGCGGGGGCUUUUAUGUACAUACUUAGGGGCCUGCAUGAGAAACCCAGGGACGACGAGUUGAUUUUUAGAAAGCCGAGGGUCCUUUUAACAAAACUACCACGCGAAGGGGUAUCAGCUGAUCUCGACCGCACGAUCGCAGAUCAACGACCAUGAUUAAAUCUAAACGCCAGCGUGCGCGGGCGCGCGAGCGAGAACUGACAAGCGGGCCAAGGAUGUCAGCGACUGGGGAGGGGGAACGAGCUAACCAGCUAGGCCCAGUGCCAGGGGGCGCAGGCACUGACAGGCAGGGCCCAGGGGCAGAGUAUGCAGACACAUCUGAUAUCCGCAGAUCCGACCCGUUGGAUCGGGGACGAACUAUUGCGAUGGGGUGCGCGGGGUUUUAUAGCUCGGUUACCGGCGUUACUCACUACACAGUGGCAAGGUUGUGGGAGGAGAAGCAGACGCAGUCGCUGGGGGGUUUGGGGUCGCUGGUGAGGGCUGGAACUGACUAGGAAGGUUCGACGAACUCACUGGUAGGGCUCCGACCGCUAGAACAUGAUAGGUGACUGGAGAACGACGAAGGGGAUGUGCUCCGGGUGGGUCGGGCAACUCCGGCGAGGAAUCUUGACCGCGAGGAGGGGGUUUCGGGCGCGCUAAGGCCUGGACUGGCUUCGGCAAGGUAAGGGGAACACUGCGGACCAACGUAGGGGCACAACGCGAGGCUAAAUCGGCGUGGCGGACCGGCGCGACCAAACUCCGACGAGGACAAAUUGGCUAAGACCAUGCGAAAAUAAGGUAAACCAAGCACGGGAACGAGUUCCUCACCUCGGGACGAGCUCAGGGCGACUUGGCGCGACUUUUGGCGGGCUAGCCGACCGAUAGUGUGGCCGCGGAUCUACGGCGAGCACGGGUGGCAACGACAGCGCACGAGAGAGGGCAAGAGUGUGCGAAAUGAGGCAGGCGAGACAGAGCAGGUGUGGGCGGGUCUCAAAAAGAGCUGGGGUGCCUAUGCGAGCGACGUGGGCGGUCUCCACGGCAUGCACGCGGACGUGGGUCAGCGGCGGUUACGGGGAAGAUGGAGCUGACAGGGCUGGCCCACUGCGUAGCGAGAGAGAGCGAGUGCGCGGGCGAAUGGUCCAUGACGCUGACGAGGUGGGCCCGCAGCGCAGAGAAAGAGUGGACGCGUGUUCGAGAGAGAAGCGGCUCCACCGUGCAGAGGGAAAGGGGGAGCGAGAGUGCGCGGACGCGAGCCGUCGCUGAUAGGUGGGACCCACGUGUCAGGCGAAGAGGGCGCGCGCGGCCUAGUUAGGCUGGGCUAGGCUUGUUGGGCCGAAUUCGUCUUUCCUUUUUCCUGUGAUUUACCAAAUGCUUUUUAUUUUCUUGAUGGAUUUAAAAUCAAAUUCAAACCCAAUUCAAAUUCAAACGAAUUCAAACAUGUGCAUCAAACAAAAGAAUAAUUUAGGCUCAGCAUGAUGCAACAUUUCAUGACUCACAUGGGUUUUGCUAUAUUAAAUAAAUAGUUAAUCCCUCACCUAAUUGACAUCACUCUAAUAAAAUGGAAGAGAGUAGAAGUCUUGAGAGAGAGAGAGAGAGAGAAAUAUGAGAUAACACCUGAAUUUGGUAGACACUAGAGAAGAAAUUUUAUACCCUCAAAAUCAGGGUGUUACAAACCUAUCCUCCUUAAAAAGAAUCUCGCCCUCAAGAUUCAGGGUUGGCUAGCAAAGAGUUCGGGAUAUUUGGCUUUCAGAUCGUCUUCUCUUUCCCAAGUUUCUUCUUCCUUUGAAUGAUGGCCCAACUUGACUUUACACAUUCUGAUGGUGCUUCUCUGAGUUACUCAAUUUGCUAUCUCCAGAAUCUAGGUUGGUGUUGGGACUAUGCUUCGUCGCCGAAGGUCUUGUAGGAAGAAGCAGCUUCGGCUGAAGCUGUCCGCAUGAGAUGACUGAAGGAUCCUCUUCAUGAAGCUUCGGAAUUACAAACCGACUUAAAAGUAGAAUGACCUUUUAGUCCAUAAAUGUUUGGGUCGCUGUUGUAAUCCCUUAUAAGGGGCAUAAUUGUAAUUCCCCACAGGCUGUGUCCUGUGCCUAUAAAUAGUGAACAGUAUUCCUUUACUGUUCACGCAUUCCGGUAUUUACAAUCGCAUCAUUCGGGAACCAAUCUUUGUCAAGGCAAAGGUAUAACUGUAUUCAAUGAUUAAAUAUACUGAGUAGAUAUAAUAUGGUUCAUUUAUGAUUCAUUUACCUUUGAUACUCUAUAUUUUAUGUUAUCUUAUACAAUCUAUUAAAAUUCAAUUACGAAGAUUUAACCUUCGUAAUCGUAUUGUCAUCAACCUUUGUCCAAGGUCCAUUAAUCCCCAAGGGAAUAAUGCUUCGUUGGACGAAGGACAUUAACAUUUAACAUUUUAUGUUGCCUUGUUCUUAAUUCAUAGCAUUUGAGAACAAGUCCCCAACAUUGGCGCUCACCUCCGGUCAACUCACUUCCACUUUUUGAGCUGAUGGCUUCGAUUAACGAUCAAGCUGGAGCUGCUUCGGCCCCGAAGCUGGUGUUCCCGAUAACAGGUGGUUCAUGCUCAGAACCAGCCAACAAAAAGCAGAAGAAAGAGGCGCAGAGAAGGGUACAACAUGUUGGAGUGCAGGGACCCUUCAUCAAGUCAAGAUGGUCACACAUUCCAAUCACCUUCUCCCAAGAGGAUCUUCAGCUCAGGGAUUUUCCUCAUAACGGUGCUAUGGUUAUUUCUUACGUUAUCAAAGGAUUUCUGGUCCACAAUGUUUUGGUUGAUACAGGCAGUGCAGCUGAUAUUAUAUUUGCUAAGGCCUUCAGACAAAUGCAAGAGCCAGAAGACAAGAUUCAUGAUGCUACACACCCUCUCUGUGGCUUCGGAGGAAGACAGAUUGUAGCACUGGGCAAGAUCACCAUGCCAGUGACCUUCGGCUUCAUCAACAACACCAGAACCGAGCAAGUUGUGUUUGACAUUGUUGACAUGGAAUACCCUUACAAUGCAAUUAUUGGUCGUGGCACCCUCAAUGCUUUCGAAGCAAUUCUUCAUCCUGCUUACCUUUGCAUGAAGAUACCUUCGGAUCAAGGACCCAUUGCUAUUCAUGGAAGUCAGGAAGCUGCCAGAAGGGCCGAGGGAAACUGGACUGACUGAAAAGCAAUCCAUAACAUAGAUGGAGCUGAAGCUUGUGAACAGUACAAAUUCAGAAGGGAGAAAGCAGCUUCAGCAGAUCAGCCGAAGCCCAUGCUCUUAUGUGAGGACAUAGCAGAGCAGAAGGUGCUGUUGGGCUCUCAAUUAUCCGAAGAACAGGAGAAAACCUUGAUAAGGUUUUUGUUCAACAACAAAGAUGUUUUUGCAUGGUCAGCCAAUGAUCUUUGCAGAGUUAACAGGGAUGUUAUUGAACACUCGCUCAAUGUUGACCCAUCUUUCAGACCCAGAAAGCAGAGGCUUCGGAAAAUGUCUGAUGACAAGGCCGAAGGCACUCGGAAUGAAGUCAAAAGACUCCUCAGUGCAGGAGUUAUCAGAGAAGUAAAGUACCCAGAAUGGCUAGCUAACACUGUUAUGGUAAAAAAGGCCAAUGGCAAAUGGCGAAUGUGUAUCGAUUUUACGGAUCUCAACAAGGCCUGUCCGAAGGACGAAUUCCCAUUGCCAAGGAUAGACUCCUUAGUUGAUGCAGCAGCUUCGUCAGAGCUUAUGAGUCUUCUCGAUUGUUAUUCAGGCUAUCAUCAAAUUUGGAUGAAGAAGGAGGAUGAGCCGAAGACCAGUUUCAUAACCCCUAGUGGAACAUAUUGUUACCUUCGGAUGCCUGAGGGGCUCAAGGACGCUGGAGGAGGUUUCAGCAGAAUGACUGCGAAGGUUCUCCAGUCUCAGAUAGGCAGAAAUGUGCUAACUUAUGUUGAUGAUAUCAUUGUAAAAAGCACGAAACAGGAAAAUCACAUUGCUGAUUUGCAGGAGACCUUCGCCAGUUUUAGACAAGCUGGUCUAAAGUUGAAUCCAGAAAAAUGUGUCUUCGGAGUAAAGAAGGGGAAAUUUCUUGGAUGCUUGGUUUCAACAAAGGGAAUUGAAGCUAAUCCAAGUAAAAUUGAAGCUAUACUUCGAAUGGAGCCACCAACUACAAAAAAGGGGGCCCAAAGAUUGACAGGGAGGCUGGCAUCUCUCAAUAGAUUCAUAUCCAGAUCAGCAGAGAGAAAUUUACCAUUCUUCGAAGUGCUGAAAUCAGUCGAAGUCUUUCAAUGGGGACCAAGCCAACAAAAAGCCUUCGAGGAACUGAAGCAAUAUUUGAUAGAUUUAACAACAUUAACUCCACCAACGCCAGGGGCUCCUUUGUUAUUAUAUGUGGCAGCUUCGCAUUCAGCGGUAAGUGCAGCACUUGUCCAGGAGAAGCUUGAUGGCCAAGUCAAGAAGCAGGUCCCAGUGUAUUUUGUAUCUGAAGUUCUUAGUAUAUCAAAGAAAAACUAUACAGAAUUGAAGAAGGUGUUAUAUGCUGUUUUGAUGGCAUCCAAGAAGCUUCGGCAUUACUUUCAAGCAUACAAUAUUGUUGUUCCUUCUUCACAACCGUUGAAGGAUAUUAUGAGAAAUAGAGAAGCUACUGGACGGAUUGGAAAAUGGGCUGCAGAGCUCAAUGAAUUUUGCAUUGAUUAUGUGCAUAGAUCUUCGAUCCAGUCUCAAGCGUUGGCAGAUUUCAUUGCUGACUGGACGCCAGGGGCUCAGGAUGAAGAAACAAAUAAAGAUGCCGAAGUAUGGACAGUGUUUUGCGAUGGGUCUUGGGGAACCUUCGGAGCAGGAGCAGCCGCUGUGUUGGUCUCACCAUCCAAAGUUAAAACUUGUUAUGCAGCAAGACUCGAUUUUAGUUGUACUAACAAUAUUACUGAGUACGAAGCCCUGCUUUUGGGCCUUCGGAAGUUAAAAGCAAUGGGUAUCAGAAGGGCCAUUCUUAAAACUGAUUCCCAGGUUGUUUCGGGUCAUAUCGACAAGAGUUGUAAGGCUAAAGAUCCGAAGCUUGAAAAAUAUCUAGACACGGUCCGAAGGAUUGAAGCUUCCUUCGAAGGAUUUUCUGUCAAAAAUAUCCCUCGAGGACAAAAUGAGCAUGCUGAUUUGCUAGCUAAGUCAGCAGCACAGGGGCUGCCCUUACCUUCGGAUGUGUUCUUCAAAACAAUAAAAGCACCUUCAGUGGAACUUCUUGAAAGAGCAGUCCUCAAUAUAUCUCCUGUUUAUAGUGAAGACUGGAGAACUGAGAUUAUCUCUUACCUUCAGGGUAAUUUCCUUUCAGAUGACGAAACUUACAACAGGAGGAUAGAGGCAAGAGCUCGUCCAUAUGUCAUGAUAGAAGGGGAGUUGUACAAGCAUGGAGUUUGUGCUCCAUUACUCAAGUGUUUAUCUAGAGCCGAAGGCAUAGAAUUGAUGAAAGAAAUACAUGCAGGCCUGUGUGGAUCUCACGUUGGAUCUAGGCCGUUACUUGGAAAAGUUUUCCGUCAAGGGUUUUAUUGGCCGAAGGCAGCUUCGGAUGCAGCGGAAUUAGUUCAAAAGUGCGAAGGUUGUCAGAAAUGUGCAAGAGAUCAAAAACAACCUUCGUCCCUAACUCAGCUGAUACAACCCAUCUGGCCAUUGCAAAGGUGGGGCCUUGACUUGUUUUUCUGGCAGAAUAUUGUUUCUGGCAGAAUAUUGUUUGUCUGGCAGAAUAUUGUUUGUCGUUUCGGAGUACCAAAGGCCAUCACUGUAGAUAAUGGAACACAGUUCAACUCCGAAGCUUUCAGAGAAUUCUGUGAUCAAAUUGGCACGAAGAUCCAUUUUGCAUCAGUCAGGCAUCCGGAGUCAAAUGGACUCGUUGAAAGAGCCAAUGGCAUCAUAAUGACAGGAAUAAUGAAGUUAAUCUUCAAUCAACCCAGGGGAAAGUGGCCAGAUCAAUUAAUCAAAGUGGUAUGGAGCCACAACACAACAACAUCAAGGUCAACAGGCUUUACUCCAUUCAAAUUAUUGUUUGGUGACGAAGCAAUAACCCCGGAAGAAGCUAAAACUGGAUCAAUAAGAGUAGUAGCUUCGGCAGAAUCAGAUCCUGAAGCUGAUCAUUCUGUGGAAAAAGAUGCUUUAGAAGGGAUCAGGCUUCAAGCUGUGGAGAACAUCAAUAAAUAUCAAGCCGAAACAAUCAAAUGGCGUGAUAGAAAGGUUCGGCUAAAGAAUAUUGAGCCAGGACAUUUGGUGCUUCGGAGAGUGGCUAACCCAGAUACAGUGGGCAAGUUGCAGUUGAAAUGGGAGGGACCUUUUUUGGUAGUAUCUUCGUCAAGACCCGGUUCAUACAGAUUGAAGGAUAUGGACGGCAACGACAUUCCUAGAUCUUGGAAUGCGGAUGAGCUUCGGCGAUAUUAUGUAUAACUUGAUGUAAUUUUUUAUAUUUUUUAUUUUUUCUUUCAUGGCACCCUUUUCCUUUCUGAAGGGGGAGAAAGGUUUUUAAUGGGGCCAUCACAUGUAAUUUCCUUUUUUAGCUCUAUAAGAGCAAAAUCCCCCAAAGAUGUAAAUGUAAAAGCUGAGAACGCACCAUCGAGUGCCGGAAAGAAACAGGGAAGAAGCUCCAAAGACGUUCCUAAGGGAAUGCAGAGCUUACAGCGAAAAAUAAACGCUGAUUCCGCCGAAAGUAAAAGGCGAAGAAGCUCCAAAGACGUUCCUAAGGGAAUGCAGAGCUUACAGCGAAAAGUCAACGCUGAUUCCGCUGAAGUAAAAGGCGAAGAAGCUCCUAAGGGAGGCUUACAACGAAAAGUCAGCGCUGAUAUGUGAUUGUUUCUAAGGAAAUAACGAUUGUGAUUAUGGCUUCGGAUAUGUGUUUGGACAUUCAUUUGCACAUCACAUUACAUCAUAACAUUUGCAUUCAUAAACAUUCAUCCAGGCAUAUGUAGGAUAACCAUCAUCAUAGCAUAAGUGGUUGCUUCGGCAAAAAGGAAAAAACUGUCUUUUGUACUUCGUCGUGUACGAAAAGAAGAGCUUCGGAAAAAAGGAAAAGUUGUUUUUUAUGCUUCGCUGUGUACGAAAAGAAGGGAAGGUGUUUUUUCGCCUUCGGCUCAAAAAGAUAAUUUCGUCCACAUCAAAGCGUCUCUCAUACAUUAAUGGAAGGGUAAGAGCAUAUUACAAGGUAUGAACAGAAUUCAUUAAGAACAGUUUAGUCAUAUGUACAAAAGUUAUUUCAAAAGUUUCUUGAGUUUGUCUACAGUUUACUCCUACUGAUCUUCAUGAGGCCUCAGCUUCGGCGUCAUACUCUUUAAGCAUCGGUCUCGGCUUCGUCAUCCUACAUGAAUUGUUGUGGGUCAAAACCAAGCUUGAAGGAAAAGGUAAGCACAAGGUAUAAUUUCUUACUGGUUCAAGAUGACUCCGAGCUUCGUCUCCAGCCUUUUCUCGCCCGCCUUUUGUCCAUAUCAUCUUUACAAAUCUAUUAGAAAUGCUUCGGGCGAGGUCAGGAAUAUCAUCUAAAAUUGAUGGUGAUAGAGUGAAAUUGGGCCUAUUAACAAUUUUUCCAUGGUCGCAGCCAGCUUUCAGAAAAGCUGCCGCAGUGCCCCGAGAAGCUACCCAGGCACAGAAGUCACCGUGCCCGGCUAUAACUUCGUCAAGCUCAUCAAUUUCACCCUCAAUAUGUUCGAAGGUCUUUGGUAAAUCUUCAGUUGACGGGGUGAACUUCUCACUACUGGCCCCGACUGAGUGGAAGAUUUUUCUCAGUCGUUGAAUACAUUUAUUGCUAAACUCCAAACAUUUGUCUUGAAGGCUUGCCAAUAAUUUUUUCAAAUCUGAAUUUUGUUGGACUUCGGCUUCAAGUUUCGUAUUAAGUUCUUGCUUUUCUUUUUCGAACUGUUCAGAUUGGCAGAGAAGCUUCGUAUUCAAUUCUGCUACUUUAGCUUCGGCUUCUGCCAAUAAGCUUUCAGUUGUCUGAAGCUCGAAGUUUUUCUUUUCAAUAGUAGCUGAUUGCUCUUUUAUUUUGCUCUCUAAAUUUUCAAUUAUAACCUCGUGUUUUUUGUCUUCUAGAUCUUGCUGCAUUUUCAAAGCCUUGCUCAACAGCAUACUCUGCACGUAAACAACCUUCGUUAGACAUGUCUUCAUUAUUAAAAACAAUAAAAGUCAAGGGAAAAGUAGUUCACCUUGAAAUUGGAAUAAAAUAAACUACCAACGAUAUGUUGGCGUCGGUAGCGGCUAAUGUCCGUUUCCAGCUUCGGAAAACCGAUACUCUUUGAUAGAGUACCGAUAACCUUAGCUCCAGUUUGAUCCCGGAUACAGUCUAAUUUUUCAUCGUCAAUACCCCCGAAGAGGAGUGCUCCUGGUUUAUAUCCGCAAGAUUUGGCAUAUUCUUUAAGCUCUUCUAUUUCGGUUUUUGACAAUUCUUGUCCAACUAAAUUUUGAAACAUGAAGGCUUCGUCCUCUGAAGCUUCGUCAGCAAUUUCCUUUUCUUUCUCAGACACUGCGGCCAUGGCCUCUUCGGCGGCAGUAGUGGCUUCUUCUGUGGCCAUGUUUAGCAGCAUUUUGUCGAUGUGUUCGAUUGUGCUUGCCAAAUUUAAAUCUUCAGUUGAGGUAGCUUCGGUAGCCGUGACCUCCGAAGGUGUGACUUCAAUAUUUGUUAUUUCCUCAGCCGCUGGUAUCUUCUGAGCUGAAGCUCUCGGUGGUGUCUUGUCAAUGACUUCUGUCACUGCAAUGAUUCUUUGUCUCUUUGUUUUAGUUGUUUUCUUCGUUUUUUCGGGCUCCUUUUCCUUCUGAAAAAACUUUGUCAGUUGAGGCCCCAAUGGACUUAGCUUCGCAGGCAGGGAUUCAGUCAUUACCUUCAAAAUCUCUUCCACGUCAGUGGCAGAGCGUGAUGCGGGAGUCUCCUCUUCGUCGGAUACUUUUUGCUUCGGAGAUGAUACUUUCCUCUUCUUUGGAAUAUUCUUCUUUUUUGGUGGUUCUUUCUCAUCUUCAUUUAAAGCUUCGGCUCCCCUUUUCCUUUUCCGGCCUUCGACACCUUUAUUCAGAUUUUCGUAGUCAGGGUAUUCAAAACCCAGGGCGUCCAGCACUCGAUUCAGUCUUCGCUUCGGACGGGUACCGAAGGCCGCAGUCAUCAACUGAUCCUCUUUCUUGGAGUAAUUACCGAGUAUUUCAUUGCACAUUAUUUCAAUUGUGUCCAGCCACUCUUGGCAAGGUGUUUUAAAAUAUUUCUUAAACUUGUAAUAGUAAGGUAACCGCACAAGUUCCCCUUCUUUCUUCUCCCCCUCUAGUUUCGGCAUUUCCCAUUCUUUUAAGGUAGGAAAAACCCUGAAAGCCAAAAACUCUUGAACCAGGUCUCUUGUGCUGAUAUGCUCUGAAAUAAUUUUAAACUCAGCCAACGCUUUUUGGGUUGGACCUUCUGGUGUCAUGUUGCAAUGAGGUCAGGUUUCUCCGAAGAUUAAUUCAAGCGGACUCUGCACAAGCUUCUCCUUGUCGUCAUCAACAUUGACGUAGAACCAUUCCGAUUUCCAGCCUGCCGGCCACUUGCUUCGAUAGCUGAUGACAGGAAACUUUGUGGUUUUCCGAUAGGCAAAAUUAUAGCAACCAAAAUUAUCAUGCAAUCCAUCUUUUCUAGCCUUCGUCUGAUAAUGCAGCUCAUGAACUCGACAAAAGCUGUCGGCAAACGGCUCCACCUCCUGGCUUCGGAGGGCCCAGAUAUAGACGCUAAGCCUAACGAUAGCGUUAGGAGUCAGCUGAUGAAAGUAGAUCCCAAACCUCUUCAAUACAUCUGCAAUAAUCCCAUGCAGGGGAAAUCUCAACCCAGCUUUUAGAAAGCUCUUGAAAAUGACUAUUUCAUCCUUCUCUGGCUUCGGAGUAGUUUCUUCCCCCCCGAAGCGUAGAAGCUUCUUCUGACUUUCACUGAAAUAACCCGACUUCACCAUCUUGGAGAGAUCAGCCUUCGAAAUAGUCGACUUUCCGAAGUCCAAGUGGCUGGGCUUACUUGGCAUGGCAAUACGAUAAUCAUCUUCGGAAUCAGUUUCCUCAAUGUUUCCUUCUUCCGCUUCGGCAGUCGCCUGUUCUGUCUCAGCAGUGGGGAUUUCUUCCGGGGUUACCAGUCCGGAUCGUUGCAUCGCUUCGGAGAUGGGAACAGUCUCCGAUCCUUCAGCUUCGCCUCCCUCACGCUCAACCCUAGCGGUAGAACGCACUCUGGCCAUUUAACUCUGAAUUUUUUGGGAACUAAAUGCUUUUUCUUCCGAAGCUUUUUCUUCUGACGAAGUAGGCUUCAAACUGGAGCUUCGUCUGAUUCUGAGAGUCAAGCUUCGGCUAUGAUUAAAAAUUUUGGUAGCAAAACAGUGCAAAUAGCAAUGAAUGCUGUGGUAACUUCACACCUACUCGUCUGUUUAUAUAGUGAUGCAGGUAAGAAGGUGAAUCGCCAGGAUUUUUACACCAGGUGGACAGCCGCUUGCACUCGCUGCGCGGUGGACCGCAGAGACCAAACAGUAGCUCUGCAAGGUGGGACCGCUAUGCGCUCGGAAACUGAAUCGUUUCUCGACAACGAGCUCAGGGAAGGUGUUUUUUGGACCUUCGGCUUCCCGAAGCUUAAGAGACUUUUUUUCAUGGGUCAAGCUCGUUACGAAAAACGAUCUAGCGCAUCGAAAGGGGCUACUGUUGGGACUAUGCUUCGUCGCCGAAGGUCUUGUAGGAAGAAGCAGCUUCGGCUGAAGCUGUCCGCAUGAGAUGACCGAAGGAUCCUCUUCAUGAAGCUUCGGAAUUACAAACCGACUUAAAAGUAGAAUGACCUUUUAGUCCAUAAAUGUUUGGGUCGCUGUUGUAAUCCCUUAUAAGGGGCAUAAUUGUAAUUCCCCACAGGCUGUGUCCUGUGCCUAUAAAUAGUGAACAGUAUUCCUUUACUGUUCACGCAUUCCGGUAUUUACAAUCGCAUCAUUCGGGAACCAAUCUUUGUCAAGGCAAAGGUAUAACUGUAUUCAAUGAUUAAAUAUACUGAGUAGAUAUAAUAUGGUUCAUUUAUGAUUCAUUUACCUUUGAUACUCUAUAUUUUAUGUUAUCUUAUACAAUCUAUUAAAAUUCAAUUAUGAAGAUUUAACCUUCGUAAUCGUAUUGUCAUCAACCUUCGUCCAAGGUCCAUUAAUCCCCAAGGGAAUAAUGCUUCGUUGGACGAAGGACAUUAACAUUUAACAUUUUAUGUUGCCUUGUUCUUAAUUCAUAGCAUUUGAGAACAAGUCCCCAACAUUUGGCUUCUCGAUGUAGGUCAAGUCUUCUUGAACUUUGAGAUUCUCGGUUGGCAAUUGCUCUUCUGGCACUCGCAAGCACUUCUUCAGCUAAGACACAUGGAACACAUCUGCAUGGCUGACAGAGUUUCUAUUAGGCUAAGUUGAUAUGCCACUUCUCCACGUCUUGCCUGAAUCUGGUACGGUCCGAUGUAUCGAGGUGCUAGCUUGCCCUGGACUCCGAACCUUUUGAUUCUUGUGAUGGGUGACACCUUCAGGUAAACAUAGUCUCCCACUUCGAAGCUCAGAUCUCUUCUUCUUGUGUCAGCAUAGCUUCGCUGCCUGGACUACGCUGUCUUUAGAUUCUCCCGAACCAUUCUGAUGUUCUCUUCGGCCUCAAGCAAAAUGUAUGGACUAAACACCUGCCUUUCGUCGGGUUGGUCCCAAUGUAAUGGAGUUCGACAAUUCCUCCCAUAGAGAGCUUGGAACAGUGACAUCUUCAAACUAACUGGCUUGGUAAAUGUUGUUGUAGGACAGUUCUGCAUAAGGUAGCCUUUUGUCCCAACCUAACUUGUCUUGCAAAGCACAAGCUCUUAACAUAUCUUCAAGGAUCUGGUUCGUUCUCUUAGUCUGACCAUCUAUCUACAGCUGAUAAGGUGAACUGAACUUCAAAUGUGUGCCCAAAGCUUCAUGUAAUUGCUGCAAAAAAUGAGAAGUGAAUUGGGUUCCCCGAUCUGAUACUAUCUUCUUUGGUAUGCCAUGCAAGCAUACAAUUCGGGACAUAUAUAACUCUGCCAACACGACACUAUUGUAGGUGGUCUUGAAUGGUAUGAAAUGGGUCGCCUUCAUCAAGCGGUCCACUACUACCUAGAUGGAGUCAUAACCGGCUUGAGUGCGAGGCAAACCGACUAUAAAAUCCAUCCCAAUCUCAUCCCAUUUCCACUGAGGAAUCUGCAACGGCUGCAACAAACCUGCGGGCCUCUGAUGCUCUACCUUGAUUCUCUAACAACUGUCACAUAUGGCAACAUACUCUGCGAUCUCACUUUUCAUACCGUAGCACCAGAAUCUUUUCUUUAGGUCUUGGUACAUCAUCUCGUUGCUAGGGUGUAUGGAAUAAGUUGUCUCAUGAGCUUCCUUGAGGAUCAUCUACCAAAUCGAUUUGAUGUCAGGAACACACAACCUAUCUUUAAACCAUACUACGCCUUCCGCGUCUUCCUGGAAAUCUUUGUCUUUCCCAUCUAAGAUCAGUUGUCGAAUUUCAUUGAUCUUCUCAUCAUCUUUCUGGCCCUUCUUGAUAUCUUGUUCUAGAGUAGGCUCUAGCUCGACUGUCACUCCUUGAGUGUUGUUCAGAAAUCCGAGACUCAAUAUGUCGAAUUUCUUUGCUAGCUCAUAUGGCGUUAGAUGAGCGGCCAUCAUGUUGACUUGGCUUUUUCGGCUCAAAGCAUCUGUAACCACAUUAGCUUUGCUUAGGUGAUAAUGUAUCCCCAGCUCAUAAUCUUUGAUUAAUUCCACCCAUCUUCGCUGCCUCAUGUUUAAUUCUGACUGGGUGAAUAUAUACUUGAGACUCUUAUGGUCUGUGUAAACAUCACACUUUUGCCCAUACAAAUAGUGCCUCCAGGUCUUUAGUGCAUGAACCACUGCUGCUAACUCCAGAUCAUGUGUGGGGUAGUUUCUCUCAUGAAUCUUCAAAUGUCGGGACGAGUAUGCCACUACUCUCCCUUCUUGCAUUAACACACAUCCUAGUCUGGUGUAUGAAGCAUCACAAUACACUGAGAAUGGCUUGUGAACAUCAGGUAGAAUCAACACCGGUGUUGUCGUCAACUUCUUUUUCAAUGUCUCAAAGGACUCUUGGCACUCUUGGAGAAACCUUCAAUGAAACGCCGAUAGUAGCCGACCAUUCCAAUGAAACUCUUGAUUCCCCAUACAUCUCUUGGUGUUUUCCAGUCUAGAAUAGCUACUACCUUCUUCGAAUCCAUAGCUAAUCCGUCUCGAUUUAUGAUAUGACCCAAGAACAGGACUUCGCUGAUCCAUAAUUCACAUUUGCUAAGCUUGACAUACAGUUGACAAUCCCGUAGACUCUGCAAUACUUUCCUCAAGCGCUCUUCAUGCUCUUGCUCAUUCUAGGAAUAUAUGAGGAUAUCAUCAAUAAACACCACUACGAAUUUGUCUAGAUAGUCCAUGAACACGCUAUUCAUCAAGUACAUAAAGAAAGCUGGCACAUUUGUCAGACCGAAUGACAUGACAGUGAACUCAUAAAGCCCAUUGUUGGGGCGAAGGCAAAGAUGCCACCCUUCGCUCGAGGCCUUCGCUGCAGUCGCUGGUCCGACGGAGACACAACGGGCAAGAACACCCUUCGCCUGAUUCGGCACCAGGCAAAGGCCUGCGACGUCGUCAUCCCACCGUGCGGCCUCGUCCAGCUCAGAGGCCCGCGUGUGAUCCGGCCCAUUGUAACGGGCCCUGCGUGGCCGCCGCGUGUUACGGGCCUAAUUUGUAAAGGCAUUCCUGUAAUUACAGUCUGUAACCCCGCUUUAUGGGAAUAUUCUGGGGAUAACCUAGGUGGCUGAGGGCACAUGCGUCCUUAACACAAGGCGCUGGGCGCUCAGACACCUAUAAAUACCCCCGCACAGUGCCCGUGAGAGGCCAGAUUAACAGAGCUAUUGCCCACACGCGCGAGAGCCCUGCUUACGUCAUUGUUCACCCUUGUUGGAUCCCCUUGCAACUGAGAGCAAGUUCCAACAUUUGGCGCCCACCGUUCGUGCUACGAGAAAACCACCCACGAUGGCACCCAAGAGAGCUAACCCGAAGGCUGACGAGGCUGCGAAGGCAGCACUGCUCGCCGCAAGAAAGGGCAAGGCCCUCGCCCUCACCCAAUCCACCCACCAAGAGGCCACUGAAGACAACGUUCCCCGCACCUGCGAGGACGACACUCUCCGCACCUGCGGCCCUGAAGGACAAUCGCAGCCACCCUCAGGCUUCGCCCCACUGGAGGGCGCGGACCUCACCGAGGAUGGUGAAGUCCUCGGCGUCUCAGCGGAAGAACAGCUACAGCUGCACGCCCUGCGCCUCAAGAACCGCAAUCUCCAGAGGCAGAAGGAGAUACUCGAGGCCAAGCGCCAGCGUGUGUCCGCACUAGCCAAAGUGCGGCAAAUGAUACGCGACGAAGAGCAGAAGGCCCAGGACCUCGAGCGGGAGAUCGCGCUGAUGCAGCGCGAAGGCCACCUUGGCCUGCAGCAAGGGCCACCCCUCCAGCAGCGCGCACAACUGGAAGACACGCGCGAAGGCCACCUCGGCCUACAGCAUGGGCCACCCCUGCAACACCGCGCACAACCGGAAGACCCGCGUUUCCCCCAGCGCGACCACACCUUCCCGCACGCCGCGCCAUUCCAAGGGGUCAACUAUCUCGACGAGCGAAGUCCCCUGGCGCCACACCUGCAAGUGACGCCUUGGCCAGCUAACUUCCGGGCAGGGACCUAUCCCAAGUACAACGGCAGCACCGACCCAGCGCAAUACAUAAUGAGUUAUCAGGUCGCCGUUGCAUCUUCCGGAGGGGACGACGCCACAAUGGCGAAGUCUUUCAUCAUCGCCCUAGAGGGCCCAGCUCUCACCUGGUUCACCAGGUUGCCUCCGCUGUCCAUUGAUUCCUGGAGAAGCCUCAGGGACAAGUUCCUGCUCAACUUCCAAGGGUACCGCCCAGACACCGACGCAUUGGCCGAACUCUCGCUCUGCAAGCAGCUGGAAAAGGAGACUCUGCGGGAGUAUUACCGCAAAUUUUUAACACUCAAGUCACAGCUGCCCUCAGUCGAUGAUCAGAUCGCUAUCCACUACGCUAUCAGUGGCCUUCGCGCCGGCGUCCUUUACAGCCACUGCAUCAGAGAUCCGCCCAAGAACCUCCAGGAAUUAUAUCAGCUGUUUGAAAAGUACGCCAAAUCCGAAGAGCUCUACCAGCGCAAGGUUGAGUCCCAAAGGGAGCCAAAAGAUGCUCCACAGUCCAGCCGCACGUGGACGAGGACUCCACAGCCGGACUCCGGUCGAGACGGCCGCAAUCAACAGCAAGUGCACAACAUCGCCAACCAGCACCCCGCUGCUGACGCCCCUCGUCGCCAGGAGUAUCCCCCCCAGGGCCGCGGAAAUGGAACUCGCGGUAGGGGUCGGGGGCGGGCGCAGCCGCCACACCGUUUCUACUGCCUCUUCCAUGGCGAAGACUGUGCCCACCAAACCAAAGACUGCCCAGAAACGAAGGCCACCAGAGACAGGAUGGCACGGGCGCAGCCUGCCGACAAUCCCAGAGUUGUCGCACACACUUACCAGCAACCCCCUCCACCAUAUAUCCACGCCCCCGCCCCGCAUCCACCGCACCAUGCUUACCAACACCAUCCGGAAGUACAAAUCGUACCUCCACCACCCCCACCACCACACCAGCAACAUCAAAACAUCCCCCAUGCUCCAAAGCAGGAAGACUUCGCCGAUCAGCCAUAUCGCGGAGUCAUUCACAUGAUAACUUGGGGGUCCAGCACUGACUUCGACACAAAGCGACAGAAGCGAGACCACUACCGCAGCAUCAACCACGUCGCCGUCACCGGCCCAGUCGUGCAGACAAAGUGGUCCCACAUACCGUUAACCUUCGACGCACGAGACGUCGACCUACGCAGCGCCCCCCACUGCGAUGCCAUGGUCAUCAAUUGCAGCGUGGCAGGCUGGGACCUGCACAAAGUCCUAGUUGACAAUGGCAGUCAGGCGGACAUCAUCUUUCUCCACGCCUUCGAUCGCAUGGGCAUAAGCCACAGCCUGCUCAAGCCUUCGGACAACCCGUUGUAUGGCUUCGGCGGCAAGGGCACCUUUCCUGUCGGCAAAAUAGAGCUGCCUCUCUCCUUCGGUGUAGCACCCAAUGCCCGAAGCGAGCAAGUAACCUUUGAUAUCGUGGAUAUGGUAUAUCCAUACAAUGCCAUCAUGGGCCGGGGCUCCAUCAAUAAGUUCGAAGCAGCCAUCCACGGACUGUACCUGUGUAUGAAGAUACCAGGUCCGUUAGGCGUCAUUACGGUCUACGACAAUCAACAGACUCCGCGCAACAUAGAGCGGGACUUCGUGCCCGGUCAGAGAAACGUGCACUGCCUCACGGCCCAGCGCGAGGUCCCCGUGCCAUCCAGCCCAACCAAUAAGCAGCACGACAAGGCACAGCUGCAGAGCAACGAUGGGACCAAGACUGUCCCCCUCGAUCAGGCCACGCCCAAGCAGACAGUCACUAUCUGCGAAGACCUCACUUCGCAUGAAGAGGAGAAGCUCCUCUGCUGCCUGUCCAAGAAUAAAGACGUCUUCGCCUGGUCUGCCCUCGAUCUGGUCAGAGUCAGCCGAUCCAUAAUUGAGCACAGCUUGGGAAUUGACCCUUCGGUGCGACCAAAAAAGCAGAGACUUCGCAAAAUGUCCGACGAGAAGACAGAGGCCGCCAAGGCGGAGGUGCACCGCCUCCUGGAAGCCAAAUUCAUCGAGCCGGUGGCUUAUCCCAUGUGGCUCUCCAAUGUUGUAAUGGUACAGAAAAAAAGCGGGAAGUGGCGAAUGUGCAUCGACUUCACCAGUCUCAACAAGGCCUGCCCAAAGGACAACUUCCCGUUGCCGCGGAUCGACAAAAUAGUCGAUAGCGCGGCCGGAUGCGAGAUCAUGUCUCUCCUCGACUGCUUCUCCGGUUAUCACCAGAUAUACAUGAAAGAGGAAGACAAGGCUAGCACCAGCUUUAUAACACCCUUCGGCACAUAUUGCUUCAUCAGAAUGCCGGAGGGACUCAAGAACGCCGGGUCCACCUUCUCCAGGCUUACCAAAACAGUGCUUGAAGGGAAGGUCGGCAGAAAUAUAUUCACUUAUGUGGACGACAUUGUCGUCGCCAGCAAGAGCAAGGAGGACCAUCUUGCCGACCUCGCCGAGACAUUCGCGAACAUGCGAGACGCACGAUUCCGCCUAAACCCGGAAAAGUGCGUCUUCGGCGUUCGCCAAGGCAAAAUAUUGGGCUACCUGGUAUCACACCGCGGCAUCGAGGCCAACCCAACCAAGCUUCAGGCCAUCAUAAACAUGACGCCUCCGCAGUCCGCUAGAGACGUCCAGCGCCUGACACGCAGGUUGGCCGCUCUCAACAGAUUCAUCUCCAGGUCCGCCGAGCGAAGUCUCCCCUUCCUCAAAACACUCCGUGGUGCAAAAGACUUCGCCUGGGGACCAGAGCAGGCGGCGGCCUUCGCCUCAUUAAAACAGUACCUGUCAGAGUUGGUCGUCCUUACAAGCCCCGACUCCUCGCUCCCCCUGUUGCUCUACGUCGCGGCUUCGCUGCAUGCGGUCAGCGCGGCACUAGUGCAGGAGCAGACAGUUGAGGGCGUGGUCAGGCAGUACCCUGUUUACUAUGUCUCCGAAGUGCUGACACCGUCCAAGUGCAACAUGACAGAACUGGAGAAUAUUGCCUACGCAGUCGUUAUGUCUUCGCGCAAAUUGUGCCAUUACUUCGAAGCAUUCAAGGUCCGAGUCACCUCAGACAGGGGACUCGGCGAAUUGUUCAGAAACCCGGAGGCAUCGGUGAGGAUUGCCAAAUGGACGGUCGAACUCUCCGGCUACCACAUCAGCUUCGAGCCUAGGACAGCCAUCAAGUCACAAGUCCUGGCAGACUUCGUCGUCGACUGGACUGGGCCAACAACACAGCCAGACCAGUCCGCAGAGAAGGUUUGGACGAUCCAUUGCGACGGCGCAUGGUGCCAUGCGGGGGCGGGCGCCGCUACAGUCAUCACCUCACCAGUCGGGGUCAAGCACAGAUACGCAGCACGCCUCAGCUUCGCUCUGGAAUCCGACAGAUGCACGAAUAAUAUAGCAGAAUACGAAGCAGUCAUCCUCGGCCUCCGCAAGCUAAGGGCCCUCGGAGUCACCACCUGCAUCAUCAAAAUAGACUCUAAGGUAGUUGCCGGCCAUGUCAAGAAAGACUAUGCAGCAAAGGACCCCGCACUUAUGCAAUACCUCGCGGCCAUCCGAAGCCUCGAGAGACAAUUCAAGGGAUUCACCUUGCAGCAUGUGGAUCGGGCCAAGAAUGAAGAGGCUGACGCAUUGGCCAAGGCCGCCGCCAGGGGUGAGUCCUUGCCCUCCGACGUAUUCUUUCAUGUCAUCGGCACGCCAGCCGUCCGGAGCCCCAAAGGGCUCCAAAUAACUAAUGACAGCGAGGGCCACCGCAUAGUCAACCUUAUCAUGACCGAGGACUGGCGGGCACCAAUAACCCUGUUCCUACAGGGGUACUAUCAUCCAACCGACAUCAGCGAGGCCAAUCGCCUCAGACAUCGAAGCCGAGACUUCGCACUGAUUGAAGGCCAACUCUACAAGAAAGGGGUCAGUCAGCCAAUGCUUAAGUGCGUCACCGAAACCGAAGGCAUCCAGAUCCUACGCGAAGUCCACAGUGGCACGUGCGGCUCGCACGCAGGGCCAAGGGCCCUAGCUGGUAAGGUGAUCCGCCAAGGCUUUUACUGGCCCGCAAUGAUCUGCGCCGCAAAUCGGGUCACAAGGUCCUGCGAAGCCUGCCAGAAGUUUUCUCCUCGGUCAGGCAGCCCUUCGUAGUAUACAAAGCUGAUUGCCCACACAUGGCCUCUCCAGCGCUAGGGCCUGGACAUUGUCGGGCCCCUGCCCACCGCUCAGGGGAACCUUAAGUUUGCCUUCGUCGCUGUCGAGUACUUCACCAAAUGGAUCGAGGCAAGGGCUGUUUCCACAAAAACAUCAAAAACUGCCCACAAAUUCUUUUGGCAAAACAUCGUUUGCCGCUUCGGAGUACCGUCCGAACUAACAGUUGACAACGGCAAGCAGUUUGACAGCCAAGACUUCAAGGAUUUUUGCUUCUCCAUUGGCACCAAGCUUGCCUUCGCCUCAGUCUAUCAUCCGUAGUCCAACGGAGUCGUGGAACGCACCAAUGGGAAAAAUCUUCACAGCUGUCAAAAAGAUGCUCCUCGAUGAAAAAAGGGCAGAUGGACCGAUUUGUCCCUAGAGGGCCCAGCUCUCACCUGGUUCACCAGGUUGCCUCCGCUGUCCAUUGAUUCCUGGAGAAGCCUCAGGGACAAGUUCCUGCUCAACUUCCAAGGGUACCACCCAGACACCGACGCAUUGGCCGAACUCUCGCUCUGCAAGCAGCUGGAAAAGGAGACUCUGCGGGAGUAUUACCGCAAAUUUUUAACACUCAAGUCACAGCUGCCCUCAGUCGAUGAUCAGAUCGCUAUCCACUACGCUAUCAGUGGCCUUCGCGUCGGCGUCCUUUACAGCCACUGCAUCAGAGAUCCGCCCAAGAACCUCCAGGACUUAUAUCAGCUGUUUGAAAAGUACGCCAAAUCCGAAGAGCUCCACCAGCGCAAGGUUGAGUCCCAAAGGAAGCCAAAAGAUGCUCCACAGUCCAGCCGCACGUGGACGAGGACUCCGCAGCCGGACUCCGGUCGAGAUGGCCGCAAUCAACAGCAAGUGCACAACAUCGCCAACCAGCACCCCGCUGCUGACGCCCCUCGUCGCCAGGAGUAUCCCCCCCAGGGCCGCGGAAAUGGAACUCGCGGUAGGGGUCGGGGGUGGGCGCAGCCGCCGCGCCGUUUCUACUGCCUCUUCCAUGGCGAAGAUUGCGCCCACCAAACCAAAGACUGCCCAGAAACGAAGGCCACCAGAGACAGGAUGGCACGGGCGCAGCCUGCCGACAACCCCAGAGUUGUCGCACACACUUACCAGCAACCCCCUCCACCAUAUAUCCACGCCCCCGCCCCGCAUCCACCGCACCACGCUUACCAACACCAUCCGGAAGUACAAAUCGUACCUCCACCACCCCCACCACCACACCAGCAACAUCAAAACAUCCCCCAUGCUCCAAAGCAGGAAGACUUCGCCGAUCAGCCAUAUCGCAGAGUUAUUCACAUGAUAACUGGGGGGUCCAACACUGACUUCGACACAAAGCGGCAGAAGCGGGACCACUACCGCAGCAUCAACCACGUCGCCAUCACCGGCCCAGUCGUGCAGACAAAGUGGUCCCACAUACCGUUAACCUUCGAUGCACGAGACGUCGACCUACGCAGCGCCCCCCACUGCGACGCCAUGGUCAUCAGUUGCAGCGUGGCAGGCUGGGACCUGCACAAAGUCCUAGUUGACAAUGGCAGUCAGGCGGACACCAUCUUUCUCCACGCCUUCGAUCGCAUGGGCAUAAGCCACAGCCUGCUCAAGCCUUCGGACAACCCGUUGUAUGGCUUCGGCGGCAAGGGCACCUUUCCUGUCGGCAAAAUAGAGCUGCCUCUCUCCUUCGGUGUAGCACCCAAUGCCUGAAGCGUGCAAGUAACCUUUGAUAUCGUGGAUAUGGUAUAUCCAUACAAUGCCAUCAUGGGCCGGGGCUCCAUCAAUAAGUUCGAAGCAGCCAUCCACGGACUGUACCUGUGUAUGAAGAUACCAGGUCCGUUAGGCGUCAUUACGGUCUACGGCAAUCAACAGACUGCGCGCAACAUAGAGCGGGACUUCGUGCCCGGUCAGAGAAAUGUGCACUGCCUCACGGCCCAGCGCGAGGUCCCCGCGCCAUCCAGCCCAACAAAUAAGCAGCACGACAAGGCACAGCUGCAGAGCAACGACGGGACCAAGACUGUCCCCCUCGAUCAGGCCACGCCCAAGCAGACAGUCACUAUCUGCGAAGACCUCACUUCGCAUGAAGAGGAGAAGCUCCUCUGCUGCCUGUCCAAGAAUAAAGACGUCUUCGCCUGGUCUGCCCUCGAUCUGGUCGGAGUCAGCCGAUCCAUAAUUGAGCACAGCUUGGGAAUUGACCCUUCGGUGCGACCAAAAAAGCAGAGACUUCGCAAAAUGUCCGACGAGAAGACAGAGGCCGCGAAGGCGGAGGUGCACCGCCUCCUGGAAGCCAAAUUCAUCGAGCGGGUGGCUUAUCCCACGUGGCUCUCCAAUGUUGUAAUGGUACAGAAAAAAAGCGGGAAGUGGCGAAUGUGCAUCGACUUCACCAGUCUCAACAAGGCCUGCCCAAAGGACAACUUCCCAUUGCCGCGGAUCGACAAAAUAGUCGAUAGCGCGGCCGGAUGCGAGAUCAUGUCUCUCCUCGACUGCUUCUCCGGUUAUCACCAGAUAUACAUGAAAGAGGAAGACAAGGCUAGCACCAGUUUUAUAAUAUUGCUUCAUCAGAAUGCCGGAGGGACUCAAGAACGCCGGGUCCACCUUCUCCAGGCUUACCAAAACAGUGCUCGAAGGGCAGGUCGGCAGAAAUAUAUUCACUUAUGUGGACGACAUUGUCAUCGCCAGCAAGAGCAAGGAGGACCAUCUCGCCGACCUCGCCGAGACAUUCGCGAACAUGCGAGACGCACGACUCCGCCUAAACCCGGAAAAGUACGUCUUCGGCGUUCGCCAAGGCAAAAUAUUGGGCUACCUGGUAUCACACCGCGGCAUCGAGGCCAACCCAACCAAGAUUCAGGCCAUCAUAAACAUGACGCCUCCGCAGUCCGCCAGAGACGUCCAGCGCCUGACAGGCAGGUUGGCCGCUCUCAACAGAUUCAUCUCCAGGUCCGCCGAGCGAAGUCUCCCCUUCCUCAAAACACUCCGUGGUGCAAAAGACUUCGCCUGGGGACCAGAGCAGGCGGCGGCCUUCGCCUCAUUAAAACAGUACCUAUCAGAGUUGGCCGUCCUUACAAGCCCCGACUCCUCGCUCCCCCUGUUGCUCUACAUCGCGGCUUCGCCGCAUGCGGUCAGCGCGGCACUAGUGCAGGAGCAGACAGUUGAGGGCGUGGUCAGGCAGUACCCUGUUUACUAUGUCUUCGAAGUGCUGACACCGUCCAAGUGCAACAUGACAGAACUGGAGAAGAUUGCCUACGCAGUCGUUAUGUCUUCGCGCAAAUUGCGCCAUUACUUCGAAGCAUUCAAGGUCCGAGUCACCUCAGACAAGGGACUCGGCGAAUUGUUCAGAAACCCGGAGGCAUCGGUGAGGAUUGCCAAAUGGGAGGCCGAACUCUCUGGCUACCACAUCAGCUUCGAGCCUAGGACAGCCAUCAAGUCACAAGUCCUGGCAGACUUCAUCGUCGACUGGACUGGGCCAACAACACAGCCAGACCAGUCCGCAGAGAAGGUUUGGACGAUCCAUUGCGACGGUGCAUGGUGCCAUGCGGGGGCGGGCGCCGCUGCAGUCAUCACCUCACCAGUCGGGGUCAAGCACAGAUACGCAGCACGCCUCAGCUUCGCUCUGGAAUCCGACAGAUGCACAAAUAAUAUAGCAGAAUACGAAGCAGUCAUCCUCGGCCUCCGCAAGCUAAGGGCCCUCGGAGUCACCACCUGCAUCAUCAAAACAGACUCUAAGGUAGUUGCCGGCCAAGUCGAGAAAGACUAUGCAGCAAAGGACCCCGCGCUUAUGCAAUACCUCGCGGCCAUCCGAAGCCUCGAGAGACAAUUCAAGGGAUUCACCUUGCAGCAUGUGGAUCGGGCCAAGAAUGAAAAGGCUGACGCAUUGGCCAAGGCCGCCGCCAGGGGCGAGUCCUUGCCCUCCGACGUAUUCUUUCAUGUCAUCGGCACGCCAGCCGUCCGGAGCCCCGAAGGGCUCCAAAUAACUAAUGACAGCGAGGGCCACCGCAUAGUCAACCUUAUCAUGACCGAGGACUGGCGGGCACCAAUAACCCUGUUCCUACAGGGGUACUAUCAUCCGACCGACAUCAGCGAGGCCAAGCGCCUCAAACAUCGAAGCCGAGACUUCGCACUGAUUGAAGGCCAACUCUACAAGAAAGGGGUCAGUCAGUCAAUGCUUAAGUGCGUCAUCGAAACCGAAGGCAUCUAGAUCCUACGCGAAGUCCACAGUGGCACGUGCGGCUCGCACGCAGGGCCAAGGGCCCUAGCUGGUAAGGUGAUCCGCCAAGGCUUUUACUGGCCCGCAAUGAUCUGCGCCGCAAAUCGGGUCACAAGGUCCUGCGAAGCCUGCCAGAAGUUUUCUCCUCGGUCAGGCAGCCCUUCGCAGUAUACAAAGCUGAUUGCCCACACAUGGCCUCUCCAGCGCUGGGGCCUGGACAUUGUCGGGCCCCUGCCCACCGCUCAGGGGAACCUUAAGUUCGCCUUCGUCGCUGUCGAGUACUUCACCAAAUGGAUCGAGGCAAGGGCUGUUUCCACAAUAACAUCAAAAACUGCCCAGAAAUUCUUUUGGCAAAACAUCGUUUGCCGCUUCGGAGUACCGUCCGAACUAACAGUUGACAACGACAAGCAGUUUGACAGCCAAGACUUCAAGGAUUUUUGCUUCUCCAUUGGCACCAAGCUUGCCUUCGCCUCAGUCUAUCAUCCGCAGUCGAACGGAGUCGUGGAACGCGCCAAUGGGAAAAUCUUCACAGCUGUCAAAAAGAUGCUCCUCGAUGAAAAAAGGGCAGAUGGACCGAUUUGUUACCCGAGGCAGUCUGGGCACUAAACACGACUGAGUGCAGGGCGACCAGAUUUACUCCUUUCCGCCUUUUAUACGGAUCGGAGGCCAUGACCCCACAGGAAAUAAAACAUGGGUCCCCGCGAACAGUUCCGCCAGCCGUCCCCGACGUGGACGAGCCAACUUCAAAGGAUCUCAUUGACGAAGACCGAGUCUUCGCCCUACAGGCCCUAAACAAAUACCAAGCCCAGACAAAAGCAUGGCGCGACCACGCAGUCAUCCCGAGGGAAUUCAGCGAAGGGGACCUCGUACUCGUCCGAACAGCUUGGACAGAGUCCAGGGGCAAGCUGGAGCCCAAGUGGGAGGGCCCCUUCAUAGUCAAGACAAAAGCUUCCCCCAGCGCUUACAGGCUCACAACGCCAAACGGCGAAGACCUGGAGCACUCCUGGAACAUCGACAACCUCCGCAAAUUUUUUGUUUGACUCAUCAGGGCUGAUUUCGCCCUUGUAAUUCACAAAAAACAAUCUUACACCGGCCCGCACUCUUUUCCUCCCGGGGGGUGAGGUUUUUAACGAGGCGGAGCCAUGUAAUAUAUGUGUGAAAAAUCCCCCGCAAAAACAUGCGUCGAAAAAAGACCGCGACGACGGUCUUCGACAUUCGACCAAUACGAGGUCACCGCGAGGCUCAGCGCUAGCCACCCUCGCGUGCGACAAAUCCGCACAGAAGUCGCCUAAGGGUGCAACCGGACUAGCACAACAAGUGCAAAAAAACCGAAGUCUACCGCGAAGACUAUCCGCGCAGAAGUCGCCUAAGGGUGCAGCCGGACUAGCACAACAAGUGCGAAAAAACCGAAGUCUACCGCAAAGACUAUCCGCGCAGAAGUCGCCUAAGGGUGCAGCCGGACUAGCACAACAAGUGCGAAAAAACCAAAGUCUACCGCGAAGACUAUCCGCGCAGAAGUCGCCUAAGGGUGCAGCCGGACUAGCACAACAAGUACGAAAAAACCGAAGUCUACCGCGAAGACCAUCCGCGCAGAAGUCGCCUAAGGGUGCAGCCGGACUAGCACAACAAGUGCAAAGAAACCGAAGUCUACCGCGUAGAUUAUCCGUGCAGAAGCCGCCUAAGGGUGCAGCCGGACUAGCACAACAAAAGCAAAAACGACAAACUGUCCGCGCCAAGACCGACUAUAUACGCACCAGCACAGCAUAACAAAAUACACCAGACCAAGUACACAACGCCUUCGCAGGCAUAGCCAAGUGUGCGGGGGCACACAACCUCAUCAUACAAGCCUUUACACUUAUACAAGCGAGGGCACCACACUCUACAUCGGCUCAACCUUAGGAAUAAUUCCCAUCUCCCUAUAAUUAAAUAACAUUAUCCUAAGCUCCUCACCCGCAAAAGACUUCGCAAUUCCCCUUCACCUGUACUCACGGCGGCCGGUAAAGACAACAGCUCCUGCCGGCCAGCCCUACUCACACGAAGCCGACCUCCCUCCGCCCCACUCACCCUACGCUUCUCAACCGCCCUUCGCCGUCGGUGCCCGGUGCUAGGACCAGGCACAUCUUCUGUGUCCGCGGCGUGCGGUGAAGCCUCCGCCGCAGCCACAUCCAAGGCCGCAAAGUAGUCCAAGUCCUCCUCUGACGACUCCUCAGUCCACUCAACCGAGCUCCCAGAGUCAGCAAAAUUAGAAAACUCAGAUGCAGACCCAUCACAUUCAUUAUCACCAUCCACGGUCGAAGCCGCCAAAAAUUUAGUAGUGGCGGUUGCGUGCGCAGGCCCAAAAUCUUGAACCUGCGCAGCAACCAAAAUUUAGCAACAUAUCCAAAAUUCCCUAACUAUCUACACCCACUACGCCACCUGCGAAGACCCUGCCAUUGCGGGAGCCUCCGCCGUUGCCUCCGCUGUCGCCUCCGCCGCCACCGUCGCAGGAUCUUCAGCACUCGGCGUAGCGGCUCCGGGGGCAUCAGGCGCGCCUUCGGCGGUCUCUGGGGGCAGGUCUCCGCCGGCCGCAGCGGACGCAGAGGUAUCCGGUGUGCCUUCUGCGGUCUCCGGGGGCGGCUCCAGGGCAGCCCCGGACACGGCCUCCGCCGGGGUCGGCUCCGGGUCAGGCAGCGCGCUGUUCAACGCCCCGAAGUCAUCCACCCUCUCGCCACGCGCCGCCUAAGUCACAACACACAAAUUCAGCAAAACCACAUAUAGCCCACAUCCAGCAAACUCCAAACAAACGCCAAACGUUACUUGAGCCCUCGCCGUCUCGGCCCGCUCCCUAACCACCUCGCGACCGUGCGGACCCCACAUCCGGUCGUAGAUGGCUCCGGCGGAUUCCUUCACUAUGGGGUCCUCAACCUUGUAGAUAUCUCGCUCAAAGUCUUCGUCAGCUUGGUUAAAGACCUCGAAGUGCCGGCACCCUUCGCGAGAGAGCGCGUUCAUCGCCUCCUCGCAGGUGACCAGGGAGGCAUACGACAUAAACCCCUCCACGAUAGUGGGGAGUGCCUGCAACUCCUCCUGUACCCACUCCAGGCAGCGAAGUCCGGGCUCUCGCUCCGGCACUUCGAAGUCACCGGUCUGCGCGCCCAGCUCAUGGUACGAAUCCAUAAGCUGUUUGCGCGUCCGCUCGGCUCCGUGCGCAUCGCGGCCUCGGCCCUCUCCAUGCGGCUCUCCAGGGCGAUGAGCCGCUCCUGCAGCUGCUCGGCGCGCUCCCUGACAAGAUUGCCCUCCGCCCGUGCCAGAUUAGCCUCCGCCUGCGCAGCCUGCGCCUUGGCAAGGGCCUCGUUGGUCUCCCUCCUCUCCCCCGCCAAUUGGCGCCGGAGGUCAGCCUUCUCCCCCUCCAGCGCGGCCACCUUGUCCACCAGCUUGCGGCACUUGCUGUCGGCGACCGAUUUUUCACGGACGGCGUCAGCAUGUUGCGUCCGAAGUCUCUCGACUUCGGCAGACACAACUGCCAUGAGGGCCCCCGACGCUGUGCGGUUGGCAAAGUCAGCCACCUGCAGAACACACGUAAGACCGCGGCCCCAACAAAGCUAAAAAAACAAAGUCUAGCUCAGCGGACCUGACUUAGUGCCUCUAUCACCUCCUUCAGCCGGUGGGACGCAGUGCCCACCUCAUCCCUGACAGCCGCGAGUGCCGACAUCUCGCCUCCGGCGCUAAGAGCCCCGCCCUUCGCCUUCGGCACUACGGCAGCCGCCGUGGUCGCCGCGGCAGGCGCAACUAUAGCAAGUUGGCCUUCGUCCGACCCUGCGACGUAUCAACGAAUUAAAAAAAAACGAGCCAACAUCUUACCACCAAGAUAGUCGUCCACACUAAUAUCGGUGGCGAAGUCGGCGAUGCGCUUGCUGGACGACGGCAACACUCGGGCCGCCUUCGCGACCUCCAACACUCUGCUGGACGGCGGCAUAGCCUUCGUCGAUUUGGAGCCUCCAGCGCCUGCCGCUGCCUCCGGCGCCUUGCUAGAUGCAGGGACGCCCGACUUCGCCGCCAGCGGCGGCUUGCCUCCGCCGGGGGCCGCAGCCUUCGCAGCCCCCCGCUGCCUCUUCGGCCUAGCUUCAUGAAGCCUGACAACCGCCUGGCGCUUUUGUGUAGCUCCCUGGCGAUCCUUGUCCAUCACUGCCGACACAACAGCAGCAAUAUUCCGCCCGUAAGGAAACACUCUCCAUUCACGAACCAUGCGAGAUGUAAAAAAGUCUUCGCCGGCUGCGCGGGGGAUAGGAACAUUCCUAGGCCACCAACCCCCGGUAACCCUCAGCAUCCGCGCCGAAGACUCCCGGAGCUCGGGCGAAGACAUCCUUCCCCCCGGGGCCACGCAAGUCCUCAUCAACUCUCUAGCAAAACCAUCGGAAACCCCAAGCCCUCCCAUAGCAGUACCUAAUUUCCUCUUUUUAGAGGAUGGGGCGGCCGCCGGCGCAGGGUCGUCUCCAGUCUCCGCCACCGGCUUCUUCCCACGGCGGUCCACAUCGUCUUGGCCGGGGUAGCCGUCAUACGGCAGUUGAUUCAAUUCAAAAACCCUGUUCAAACGGUCAUUUGACCCACGGAUAUCCCAGCUACGCUGGCCCUCCGUCCUCGGCACGUACCGGCCAACGAGCCGCACCGCCCCAUCCUCCGCCUCACGCACAAAGGCGGCCGGAUCGCGGUUUUGCAGAUUCAGCGCGAAGGCUGGACUUCGCACCAUCUUCCCACCAUAGGAAGGCAUCUGGCGAGGGCACACUUUGCCCAACGCCCAGCCAUGCGCCAAGGGCCAUACCCCGUACGCCACAAACUCUUCAACCAAAUCGCGCCCACUGCUCAGGCCGGCGGCGCACCGAAGGGCCCCUUCGUCCGCAUCCUCCUCCGCCACCUCAAAGGGCGGGUAUGCUGAGUAGAAAUGAGAACACAUCUCGGACACGGGGAGUCCCUCAUGGUCUUCGACGGUACCCUCAGCGACGUAAAACCAAAACUCAUUCCAGUUGCCCCACUUGUUGCGGGCGCAAGGAACCAACUCGACUACCUGCAUUGUGGUCUUGCCGGUCUUCGGUGUAAACGUGCAGGACCCAAACUGAGCGACUUCAUCCCCAAUCAUCCUCUUCUGCCAGUGCAGGCAAUAGUACUUCGCAAAGACUUCGACUGAUGGCUGUCCGCCGUACGAAGUCGUCGCCCAGACAUACUUCGACAGAGCCACCACGGCGUUCGGUGUCAGCUGAUGUAUCUGAACGUUGAACCUGCGCAGGACUUCACCAACAAAUCGGUGCGCAGGCAGGCGGAGACCGGCGGUGAAGAACGCCUCGAACACAACCAACUCGCCCUCCGGCUCGGGGACUUCCUCCGUCCCCGGGACACGAGCAACUCCACCGCCGAAGUAACCCAGCCGCUGCAUAUCUUGCAUGCGGACCGACGACAUCCGCGACACGCCAAAAUCCACAGAAUCGCCGGCGCGCAGCUCCUCCGCCAUCAAACUACUCAGCGUCUCCUCAGACGAGGCGUCGACCGGCGGCGAGGCGCCGGCCGGCGGCGUAGCGGCAGAGGAAGAAGAGGAGGUCGGCAUCGCUACGUACCAUCGGCGGCGGCGGGCGGUCUGCUUCACUCGAGCCAGAUCUCCGGCGAACAAGAGCACGGCGGGCAGACGAGCAGCAAGACGGUGGAAAAGGCGACUAGGGUUUUCACGGAGCGCGGAAAGUGAAGUUCAAAAAGCGCCGACCCCGCCCCCUUUUAUGGACAGGGCGCGGCUCUUCAGGAAACCCGCAAUCCAACAGGGUGCGGCGCUUCGGGAAACCCGCAAUCCAACAGUACGGCGUCAAUCAACGGUCAUGUCAAAAACCCCCGCGGAACCACUUCGAGCGAGGGAAGCGUCUCCGCCAUCUAGCGACGUCUUCGGCACCAGGUGACUUUGUCGAACUAGUCCCUCGGAGGGCAAAUGUUGGGGCGAAGGCAAAGACGCCACCCUUCGCUCGAGGCCUUCGCUGCAGUCGCUGGUCCGACGGAGACAAAACGGGCAAGGACACCCUUCGCCUGAUUCGGCACCAGGCGAAGGCCUGCGACGUCGUCAUCCCACCGUGCGGCCUCGUCCAGCUCAUAGGCCCGCGUGUGAUCCGGCCCAUUGUAAGGGGCCCUGCGUGGCCGCCGCGUGUUACGGGCCUAAUUUGUAAAGGCAUUCCUGUAAUUACAGUCUGUAACCCCGCUUUAUGGGAAUAUUCUGGGGAUAACCUAGGUGGCUGAGGGCACAUGCGUCCUUAACACAAGGCGCUGGGUGCUCAGACACCUAUAAAUACCCCCGCACAGUGCCCGUGAGAGGCCAGAUUAACAGAGCUAUUGCCCACACGCGCGAGAGCCCUGCUUACGUCAUUGUUCACCCUUGUUGGAUCCCCUUGCAACUGAGAGCAAGUUCCAACACCCAUACUUGGUGAUAAAUGCGGUCUUUGGUAUGUCCAAAGGUAGGAUCCUGAGCUGAUGGUAACCUGACCUCGGAUCUAUCUUCGAGAACACACUGGCUCCUCUCAGCUGAUCGAACAGAUCUUCAAUUUUGGGCAGGGGGUACUUGUUCUUGAUAGUGACUUCAUUCAGGGCUCGGUAAUCAAUGCACAUCCUCUUUGUUCUAUCUUUCUUCUCCACAAACAACACUAGGGCAGCCCAAGGCGAGGUGCUAGGUCUGAUGUAACCCUUCUCCAACAACUCAUCUAUCUGCUUCUUGAGUUCCACUAAUUCUGGUCCGGACACUCUAUAAGAUCUCUUAGAGAUGGGGCGGUGCCAGGGAUAAACUCUAUGGCAAAUUCAACCUUUCUCUCUGGUGGCAUGCCUAGUAAAGCCUCGGGAAACACAUCAGGGAAUUCUGAUACUACUUGGAUAGCUUCUAGUGGAUUAACUUCCUCACUAUGGGCAGUGAUCUGGUGACAGCUUCCUUUCUUUGGUCCGAACAAGAUCAACUCCACCGACACUUCUUCUCCUGGCAAGGACACUAAUCUCACAGUCCUCUCAUCAUAGCUAAGGCUUGCUUGAUAUUUGGUCAGCCAAUUCAUCCCUAGGAGGACAUCUAUGGUGACAUCCUGGGUACCUAUUAUUAUCAGAUGAGCGGGGAACUCUACCCCCCUUAUUUGAUCUCUUGCACUGGGGCAAAAUCUAUCUGUUUGGGUUCUCCCACCAAUUGAACUAACCCUCAUAGGUGGGUACAUGGAUGCUACUGGUAUGUUGUGUGUUUCUACCCAUGAUGCAGUCACAAAAGAAUGUGUUGCUCCAGUAUCAAAUAACACAUUUGCAGAAUGAGAUUCAACUGAGAACGUACCUAGUGUCAGUCUUGGGAUCUCUUGAACCGUGUCGGCCUCCAGGUGAUUCACCUUUCCGUACUAGGCACGGGGUUUACCACGAUUGUUUGCUCCUGGUUGAGGUGCAUUCUGUCUUGCAGGGGCAUUAGGAGCUGACUACUGCUGAGUUGUUUUCAUUGGGCAAUGAUUCGCCUAGUGACCUUGUUCUCCACAGUGGAAACAUCCAUGACCUCCUCCUUGCGUGGAGCUGUUUGGUUGCUCUGAUUGGUUGCUGGGGCAGGAAGGCGAGGUGCCUGGUUGUUCUACCACUGGUACUGGUUUCCUCUCUGUUGGUUGUUGUCACACCCGGAUUUAGGGGUCCAAACCCGGGCGCGAAAUCAAAUGUGUGCUAGGAUCAAGUCUCACACAUAUGAUGACUCAUUAUUAAUAUAUAACAGAGUUAUGUACAAAACAGAUAAAUAAUUACAUCAUACGAAGACAACGAUCUAACAACCAAGUUAAUAGGGAGACAACGACCUAGACCACUCACGAACUCAUCAUAGCAUCCUUCAUGCGCUUCAGCAUGUGGUACCUAUUCUUGACCUGAGGGGGGGAAUGUGAGUACAACAAGGGUGAGCUCACAUACGUUCAUCGCUCAACAAGUUGUGGGUAAUAAUGUGCAUGAACUCACCAAAGGUGGGAGCUCAUGUGAAGUGUAAGGCUUACCAAAGGAGAUGGUUAAAGCUGAGCAUUACUUUUAAAGUAGGUCAAAAUUUUAUUAGCAGUUACUGUUGGUGUUUCGUACCGGCAAUGCACCACGGGAUGUACCAUGAGAUACUUUUGUGAGUUGGCAACAUCAGCUGUAGCUCAAUGGUUUGCUUCGAGAUGCGACAUGACACACGAUUUAUACAGGUUCGGUCCGCGGGAUGCGUAAUACCCUACAUCCUGUUUGGGGUGGGUUGUAUUGCUUUGAUAUCUGAAGGUUACAAUGAGGGUUAGGGUUUGGAUGUUUUUGAUGAGAGAGCGGGGGCGUGUAUGAGAUUAGAUCUCCUAAGAUCUGCCUUGGGAGGGAUCCCUAGCUUGUCUUAUAUAAUCCUGCGUGGCUUGGGUUACAAGUCAGUUUCCUUAUAUAUCUCCUAGAUGGUUUAAAUUACAAUAGAUUCCUUGUCUUGUGCGCCAAGUUUGUUUAGUCCAUUAGCCUGAGUCAGUCGGUCGGCCCAUGUAGAGAAUACAUCUCGUUUGGACCCAGGGGAUAUCCAUCCCCCACAAGCCCUCGACUUCAAGUUGACUUGAGAAACAAUCAGCUUGAAGAUCCAAAUUCUGCUUUCUGAGGAUUUUUCCUUGUAGUCUUCAAAAGUUUCUGAUGGUAUCCUCCAUUCGAGGAUCAAGCAACUUACUCCUCUGUCACACCCGAGUUUUAGGGGUCCAAAACCCAGGCGCGAAAUAAUCACCAAGUGUGCUGGGACCAAGUCUCGCACAUAUGAUGACUCAUGGUACAUAAACGAAUGUCACAUCUUUACUAUAUAAUAGGAGUUCUGUACAAAAUAAAUAAAUAAUUACAUCAUAUGGAGACAACGAUCCAGCCACCCAAAGUUGACUAGGAGACGAUGGCCUAGACCUCUCACGAACUCGUCACAACAUCCUCCAUGCGCCUCAUCCUGCGGUACCUGUUCUUGACCUGCGGGGGUGUGAGACAACAAGAGUGAGCUUACAUACGUUCAUCGCUCAACAAGUUGUGGGGAAUAAUGUGCAUGAACUCACCAAAGGUGGGAGCUCAUGUGAAGUGUAAGGCUUACCAAAGAGGAUGGUUAAAGCCGAGCAUUGCUUUUAAAGUUGGUUAAAAUUUUAUUAGCAAUUACUAAGUAUAAGUAGAUACCAACCCAAUUAAGUACUAGAACAAAAGUGAUAACAACACAUGCGAUGCAAUGCAUAUGACAAAUUGAAUUUUAGUUCCAUAAGUUAAUCAUUUGAGUGUCCGAGCUGCUCAUGACUGUGAGCACGGCUAGUAUACCAGUUUUACACUCUGCAGAGGUUGUACAUCUUUACCCACAAGUAAUAUUACCCAUCUGCCAAGGGACCGCGACUUCCCAUACACCUCUACCAAGGAGGCGAGGCAGGGUAACACUACGAGGCCUUUACAAAGUUUCACUAGCUUCACAAAACCCGCUAUAGUUUCUAGGAAGCUCCAAUGCAGGGGCCCCUCGCCUCACUGCCAUCUGAGCAAAAUCAACCCAAGGGCCUCCCUACACUGACCACUCCCCUAUUGUAACACUAUAAAAACCAUCAACUAAAAAUAAUGCAUUUAGUUUAUUAAUGGUAAUUAUGGUAAUGAUUUUUCUUUUAAGUGUUUGAUUUUUAUUUGCAUUUAGAAUAAUUUUUGUUUGCUCAUAUUUGAUUUUUGGAUGUUUAGUAGAAAUUCUUUUACAUUGAAAAUCCAAUUAAAUAAUAUAGAAAUAUUGGUCCAAAGAUUAAAAUUUUACUUAUAAAUAACUUUGGUAUAAUUUUAUAUGAUUUUUAGAAUUUUUAAAAAUAUAUUUAUUUAUAUUUUUAAAUAGAAAAAGAAAAGAAAAAAGAAAAGAGACAAACCCUAACCCUAGCCGCUGGCCCACUGACGGCCCAGCCGACCGUGCCCCAUUUCCCCUCCCCUCCCUCUCACCGCCAGGUGGGGCCCACCCGGCCCCCCUCUCUCUUCUCCCUCCCUCCUCUCCUUCCCCGCGCCACCGCCGUGACGCGCCCAUGCGCCCUGCGCGCCCGGCCGUCCCGCGCCUCGCGCCUGUCCGCCUCUCGAGACGGAAACCACCGCGACCCUCUCUCUCCCUCCUCCCCCACAUUCUCUCCCUAAUGGCGCCAUUGAUGGCCGGCCGCCCUCCCUCUCCCCGGCGCCCUCUCCUCUCCCUCUCUCGCUCUAUAAAAGGCCGAGCUUCACCCUCUCUCUCCCUCCCCGAGCUUUCUCACUCUCUCUUGCUCUCCUCGCUCGCCCGCGCUUGCCGUCGACCGGAGCCACGCCUCGCCACUCGCUGGAGCCGCGCCCCACACCCCGGCCGAGCCCCUCCCCUGCCCGACCGAGCCCUCCCCUGCUCGCCGACCUCCAUGCACACGAGCAAGAGCUCAAGGUAGAAGAAAGCCAUUUUGCGUUUUGGACCUCCGAAUUUCCACAAAUUAUUUCUAUAUUUUCUGCAUCACAAAUGUAUGUAAAAGUGAUUCAAAAGUCUAUUAUUAGUAUUAAAGAAAAUAAUUAGCAUUUAUUUUCCAUAAAUAUUGUUAAUACAUGUUUAUCUAUAUAAAACUAGUGUCAUAAUCACUAACUCAUAUUUUCACCAAUAGUUACUCGCGGUAAUAGUCAUAAUGAUUAAUAAGUAUUUACGCUUUAAGACGUAUUUAUGAGUAUAACAAGUGUGAUGUAUGAAUGUGUAUGUAAUGGUGAAUGAUUACUCCUGUAAUGGUGUAUGUUUAUUUAUUUGGCGUACGUAUUCUUUUUGUAUGUACGAUACGCAAAUCGAUGCUAUAUGUUGAUUGUGGGGUAGAUGAACCAAACUCGUUCGAGGACGACCCACAGGACACUUUCGAGCUAGGCAAGUGGAUUCUUCCUCCGCAUAUUCUAUUUGUACCCAAGUAAUGCAUAUAAUAAUGUUUACUUUUUGGAUAUAUUGCAUAAUUUGAUGGGAUUUGCCUAAAUAAGGAUUUCCUAGAAUUACCAACACUAUUCAUUGAAUUACCCUAGGAUAAAUGCUUUGCUUAGCAAUUUUUGCUAUUGCUCAACUUGAUGAAUAUGAUGUCACUCUUUUAAUGAUACUAUGUUCCAGAAAUGUAGUUUAUUUAUGUUGUUAACCCGAUGGUUAAACAAGAACAUUUUGUGUUAAAUGGAACAUGGAGUGACUACCCAGGAUAACAGUGAAACCAUAAGUGCUAUCAUGGCUCUGGCUUUGGUAAUUAGCUCUAUAGACUUAAUGCUUAGCUACCCUACCUGUAAGAUGGGCAAGAGGGGGCGGCAGUGGUUUGGUGGUAGCUCAUGUUAACAUGGGGUGGUAGUCUUGGCUAAGUUACCUCACCCAGAGGGCCAUCAAUACUGACGUGGAAACCUUAGCGGGUGGCUUUGUACUAAGGAUAUUUUGUGAAAGCCUCAUAAAGGAUCCCUAGCCAUUCACCUCGGCACUGUUUACGGGUCCGAUCAACCCAGGCUAGAUGAGAUACAUGGCUUGUGGGUAAAGUUGUACCACCUCUGCAGAGUGUAAAACUGAUAUGUCAGCCGUGCUCACGGUUAAGACCAACCUGGACCCUCACAUGAUAAUUGAACUUAAAGAUGGACAAUAAAUCGAGAUCUGAUGAUCUACAAAUGGUUUGCUUAAGUGGUUUCACUUAAGUGCUUUUGAUAUACUCCUAUAUCUUUGAUUAAUUAGGAUACUUGGGAUACACACUUAUUAGUAAGACAUGUGUUGCUAAUAAAAUAUUGACCAACUAAAAUGCUUACCGCUUAUCCAUAGCCUACCUUGUUAACUUGCAUUAAUUUCCCCCCACUUGCUGAGCCCCGACCAUAAGUGAGCUCACCCUUGCUAAUAUUUUGAUCAGAGGGUGUUGCUGAAGAUUUCGCUGCGCCAGUCACCUUCCUGUGGAAGAGUGCCCAUAUUUAAUUCCGCCCUACUUUGAUUUUGAUACUUGUUAAAGAUACAAUGAUUCAAAUCAUGUAAUAAAGUACUCUACUCUAUUUAUGCCUUUAUUGCAUUGUCUUUUGAUAUAUUUCACUUGUGACGUCAACAUAUGUGUGAGAAAUGGAUCCUGGCCCACAUAUGCCAUGCAUUCGGUUUUGCCCCUAGAACCGGGUGUGACAGAAGUGGUAUCAAAGCAAUGUUGACUCUAGGUCAUUAGAUUAGUUAGAAAUGGAAAGCCAAGACUGUUCAAAACAUGCUAAUUUUGUUCUUACAAAAUUAUUUUAUUAACCUUAGCUCUUUAAACAUCAACUAAGUUGACAUUUUCUCUUAUAGAUGGUCUGUACCAUUCAAACCACUCGUAUCAACACCAACUUCAUCACUCCGUCACAACAAGUUCCUGUCUACCCAGUGGUAGUUGAGGAAAUCCCUAUGGAUCUCCCUCGCAUUCGGGUGGAGAACGGAGUCAUUCUGGAGGACAGCUCGGAGGAGUUUCUGCCUAUGCCCACCCCGUUGGCAGAAUCACUAGCCUUCGUAGGUGGAUCAUCAGCUUCAGCACCGCCAGCACCAGCAGUCCAAGCCCCUGCUCCCGGAGGCAACGACCCAGACGACUCUGGUGACGAGGAUGAAGACGACGAGGAAGAAAAAGAAAAUGAGGAAAACCUCAACGAUGAAGCCAACAAAGAACAGCAGGACCACUACAUGGGGUUAUGGCCUGUCACUGAACAUUACACCUUAAUGUUCGAGACAGGGCACUUUCCUAACCUGCUGCAGGAUGUUUUGCACGCAUUGGGAACCUACGUCCGACCCCUGUACGAGACCAGGCGAGUGUACGAGCCUCUUCGGGCUUGCUACUACAUCACUCGCAUUCAUGUCAGUGUAAUGGAUGCAUGUGAUAGAGGGUUUAAGACUCUGUCAGCACAUGAGUCUCUGACGCCGCUAUCCACCUAAACUUCUUUGGUCAGCGAUGCUGCUAGGCGAACUCUGUGGUCUCUCAGCCACACCUACCGGCAGCAGCUGCACAAUAUGAAGUACAUACAUCUUCCUCUAUGUAUUCGUGGAGAGAACCAGACCAACAUUGUUCCAGGUGGAGCAAAUGAAGAUCGCCUCAACACCCUAGCUGGUGUGGUGGCAGGUCUUAACACCGACCUGGAUAGUGCUACCCUGGACCUCUCUAGGGUACACUUGCAGCUGGAGGAUGCACAUGCAAGGAUCGCAGCCCUGGAAGCUCAGCUUCAUGGAAGGAAUCCCCCGGAAGUUCAAGUCCCCGCUAUGGCGUUAUCCCCUCCCCACAAGAGGAUCCGCUAUGGAGAACUAGGAUCCAUCACCAGGCUGCUUUAGAUUUUAAAUUUAUAUUGUAAUAAGUUAGUUUCCGCGAUAGACGAAAAACAUCUUUUAUAUUAUUACAAUAUUAAUAAUAACAACUAUGUGAUGGUGUUGUUUGAAAUGUUUGAUUUAGAUUUUUGUUUGAGUGUGAUGGUCUUAUUGAAUGAUGGUCAUAAGAGCAUUUAAAAAAUUUAUAUAACAAUAGACUUAAUAUUAAUAAUAAGCUAUUCCCCUUAGAAUCUUCUCUACUCCUCACUUACCACGGGAGUGCACUUUCUAACCGAACAGAUGGUGAACACUCGAUCAAGUCCCAAUAAUCACCAGAACCAGCGUGGUCAGCAGUUGCCACCACCACCACCCAAUCCCACGAUGGAUCAGUUCAUCGCGGCGCAGAAGCAACUUCUGCAAGGACUUAUAGCAGUAGUACAACAGAUUCUGCAGAAUCAGCAAAACCAACAGUACCAAAAACAACAGCAGCACACACCCCAAGCUAGAGCAAGCAUCGGGACUUCAUGAGUCAUCACCCGCCUGCUUUCUCUCCCGCAGUAGACCCUUUGGAUGCCGAUGACUGGCUUAAGGUCAUUGGAAAGAAGUUAGACAUCACCCAGUGCAACGAUCGAGAAAAGGUCUUGUACGCUUCGGGAAAACUUGAAGGAGCCACGUUCGAUUGGUGGGAUGCCUUCACUGCGGCACACGCCAAUGCUGAUACCAUAACCUGGCAGGAGUUUCAAGUGAACUUUCGUGCUCAUCAUAUUCCCUCGGGAAUUAUGAAACUAAAUAAGGAGUUCCUUUCCCUCACUCAAGGGAACAUGACCAUCAGUGAGUAUCAUGAUUGCUUCACCCAGCUUUCACGUUACGCCCCAGAGGAAGUGGACACCGACGAAAAGCGCCAAGAACGUUUCUUGGAAGGCUUGAUGGGACCAUUGAACUACCAGCUACAGAGCCACAGUUUCCCCAAUUUCCAGACUUUACUGAACAGGGCAAUUGGCCUUGAAAACAAAAGGAAAGAACUGUCCAAUCACAAAAGGAAGUACCAAGAGCAGACCAGCAGAAACACUCGGCAAAACAACUCCCAAGGUUCUCAGUUCCGCUCCGGAAACUAGAGUGGGAACAACAACUACCAAGCACAGCGCUCUGGACAACAAAAUCAGAGGAACAAUCAAUACCAGAACCAGCAGAGAAGAAACACCCAGACCAGCCAAAGGUCUAGUGGGCAACAAUAGAACCGUCAGGGAAGCGCCGUGAACACACCGGCCAAGAACAACAACACAACAACCCUAGUUCAACCCAAUGGCUAUUUUAAGUGUGGCGAACUUGGCCACUAUGCCAACAACUGCCCCAGACGUAACCCAUAGACACGCUAGAAGAACAACAACAAGAGGAAUGACCAGAACACCCCUGCUCGUGGAUCUGCACAGAACAAGACUCCACAGAACCAGAGUAGAGGAAGAGUCAACCAUGUGACAGCGGAAUCAGUUCCUGAGGAUGCCAACGUGAUGUAUGGUAUGCUUCUUAUUAACUCCAUACCUGCAUCAGUUUUAUUUGAUUCUGGAGCAUCUCAUUCCUUCUUAACAAAGUCAUUCGUGGAAAAACAUAAUAUACCAAACUAUCCCUUGAAGAAGAAACUAUUGAUUCGAUCACCAGGAGGUGAACUUAGAGCCACUCACUCAUGCCCUCAGACUAAGAUUAAAAUUAGAGGACUAAGCUUUCUAGUAGAGCUGAUAAUUUUGGAAUCAAGUGGAAUCGAUGUGAUACUCGAAAUAGACUACUUGACCAAGUAUGAUGGAGUAAUAUCUUGUGCUAAGAGGAUGGUUACAUUAACUAGUCCACAAGGAGAAAGAAUUGAAGUCAAUGUCAGUAUGCCAGCAACAGUAGAGACAAUGGUAAAUCAGUUGGAAGAGAAAUCUUUGGAGCACAUUAGGAUAGUGUGAGUAUACCCAGACGUAUUUCCGGAGGAAUUACCAGGUAUGCCACCUGAUCGUGAUAUAGAGUUUUCUAUUGAACUAUUACCCGGAACCGCACCCAUUUUGAAAAGAGCUUAUCGAAUGGAUGUCAAAGAUUUAAUUGAACUGAAGAAACAAAUAGAAGAAUUACUAGAAAAAGGUUUCAUUUGCCCCAGUUCAUCACUAUGGGGAGCCCUAGUUCAAUUCGUGAACAAGAUAGAUGGUUCAAGAAGAAUGUGUGUGGACUAUAGAAGUUUGAACGAAGUAACAAUUAAGAAUAAGUACCCAUUACCUCGGAUUGAAGAUUUUUUUGAUCAGAUGAGAGGAGCUACAGUAUUCUCGAAGAUAGAUCUAAGAUCAGGCUAUCAUCAGUUGAAAAAUCGGACUAAAGAUAUACCUAAAACAGCUUUCACUACAAGAUAUGGACUAUAUGAGUUUUUAGUCAUGUCUUUGGGACUGACUAAUGCACCGGCGUACUUUAUGAACUUGAUGAAUAAAGUAUUCAUGGAAUACCUCGACCAGUUUGUGGUGGUAUUCAUUGACGACAUACUAGUAUACUCUCAGAAUGAAGAAGCACAUGAAGAUCAUAUGAGAUUAGUUUUACAGAAGCUUCGCGAUAAUCAGUUGUAUGCAAAAUUUUCGAAGUGUGAUUUUUGGCUGAAGGAAGUUGCUUUCCUAGGUCAUAUUAUCACCAGUGGAGGAAUCAAAGUAGACCCUGGUAAAAUAAGUGAAAUACUAAAUUGGAAACAACCCAUAGAUGUGUCCAAGAUUAGGAGUUUUCUUGGAUUAGCAGGAUGCUACAGAAGAUUUAUCAAAGGCUUCUCCAAAAUAGUGAAACCCCUUACUUCACUGUUGGAGAAAGGUAAAGUGUUCAAGUGGGAUGAAACAUGCCAGAAAUGUUUUGAGGAAUUAAAGGAAAGGCUAACCACUGCACCAGUGUUAAUUAUGCCUGAUAUUCAUAAAGGAUUUGAUGUGUAUUACGAUGCAUCACAUCUAGGACUUGGAUGUGUGUUAAUGCAAGAAGGAAAAGUGAUUGCCUACGCUUCAAGGCAGUUACGGAAGGAUGAAAAGAAUUACCCUACACAUGACAUGGAAUUAGCUGUCGUAGUGCAUGCUUUGAAGAUUUGGAGGCACUACAUGAUUGGAAACAAGUGUAAAAUCUUCACAGAUCACAAAAGCUUGAAAUACAUCUUCACGCAGAAAGAACUCAACCUAAGACAGAGAAGAUGGCUUGAGUUAAUUAAAGACUAUGAUUUGGAAAUACAAUAUCACCCAGGAAAAGCAAAUGUAGUGGCAGAUGCUUUGAGCCGUAAAGGUCAAGUGAACAACAUCACUACUUAUUUGAUGUCACAGGAAUUGUGUUGGGAGAUGGAACAACUCAACCUUGGAAUGCUCAAUAAUAUGGAAGCAACAGUUAUGGAAGUUGAAUCUACUUUAGAAGAAGAGAUUCGUAAAGGACAAGAGUCUGAUGAGAAAAUCAAGGAAAUUAAGAGACAAAUUAGUUUGGGAAAAGCCCUAGAUUUCACAGAAGAUGAUCAAGGCACAGUAUGGUUUAAAAAGAGAAUUUGUGUACCAGAAAUCAAGCACCUACGCCAACUUAUCUUAAGAGAAGCCCAUGAUUCAGCUUAUUCUAUUCACCCUGGAAGUACUAAGAUGUACCAGGAUCUUAAGGAAAAGUAUUAGUGGUAUGGUUUGAAAAGAGAUGUGGCUACUCAUGUUGCACUAUGUGACGUGUGUCAACGAGUGAAAGCCGAACAUCAAAGACCAGCAGGAUUGCUACAACCUCUAAAAGUACCGGAAUGGAAAUGGGAAGGAAUUAGUAUGGAUUUCAUAGUUGGACUACCCCGUACUCGGGAUGGCUAUGAUUCAAUAUGAGUUAUAGUGGACAGGUUGACUAAAGUGGCACACUUUAUACCUUUGAAGACAACUUACUCAGGAGCCCAGUUGGCAGAGUUAUACAUGUCAAUAAUUGUGUGUGUGCAUGGAGUACCAAAGAAGAUUGUAUCGGAUCGAGGAACCCAAUUUACCUUGCGCUUUUGGAAAAUACUACAUGAGUCCAUGGAUACCAAGCUAAACUUUAGCUCAGCUUAUCAUCCGAAACCGAUGGGCAAAUGGAAAGAACAAACCAAGUGUUGGAACAUAUGCUAAGAGCUUGCGCUCUAAAGCAUGGUAGAAGCUGGGAUAAAAGUUUGCCUUAGGCAGAAUUCUCGUAUAACAAUAGUUACCAAGCAAGUCUAAAAAUGGCACCGUUUGAAGCACUUUAUGGACGAAAGUGUAGAACACCGGUUUAUUGGAAUCAGACCGGAGAAAGUCAAGUAUUUGGUCCAGAAAUUCUCCAAGAAGCAAAAAAGCAAGUACAGAUUAUCAGAUAGAAUUUGAACACAGCACAGUCGAGACAAAAAGCUAUGCUGACAAUAGAAGAAUAGAGUUAAUAUUCGAAGUAGGAGACUUCGUAUACCUUAAAGUUUCACCGAUGAGAGGCAUGAAAAGAUUUAAGGUUAAGGGUAAACUAUCUCCUCGCUACAUUGGUCCGUUCAAGAUUUUGGAAAGAAAAGGUGAAGUAGCGUACCGGUUGGAGCUACCCGAUAGUUUGUCAGAUGUGCAUGACGUAUUUCAUGUGUCACAACUUAAUAAAUGCUUAAGAGUACCGGUGGAACAAUAACCUAUGGAAGAACUCAAUGUUAAGGAAGAUUUGACUUAUUCGGAGUACCCUAUCAGAAUUUUGGAAACAUCUCGCAGAAUUACACGGAGUAAAGUUAUCAACAUGUGCAAAGUUCAGUGGAGUCAUCAUUUAGAAGAUGAGGCCACUUGGGAAAGAGAAGAUGAACUUAGAGUAGAAUUCCCCCAGUUAUUCUCAGAAGUUCCUUAAUCUCGAGGACGAGAUUCUUUUAAGGGGGGUAGGUUUGUAACCCUAUUAAAACCAUCAACUAAAAAUAAUCCAUUUAGUUUAUUAAUGGUAAUUAUGGUAAUGAAUUUUCUUUCAAGUGUUUGAUUUUUAUUUGCAUUUAGAAUAAUUUUUGUUUGCUCAUAUUUGAUUUUUGGAUGUUUAGUAGAAAUUCUUUUAUAUUGAAAAUCCAAUUAAAUAAUAUAGAAAUAUUGGUCCAAAGAUAAAUAUUUUUAGUUAUAAAUAAUUUUGGUAUAAUUAUUAUGAUUUUUAGAAUUUUUAAAAAUAUAUUUAUUUAUAUUUUUAAAUAGAAAAGAAAAGAAAAAGAAAAGAGACAAACCGUAACCCUAGCCGCCGACCCACUAACGGCCUAGCCGGCCGCGCCCCAUUUCCCCUCCCCUCCCUCUCACCGCCAGGUGGGGCCCACCCAGGCCCCCUCUCUCUUCUCCCUCCCACCCGGGCCUCCUCUCCUUCCCCGUGCGCCCGGCGCGCCCCGCACCCGUCCGCCUCCCGAGCCGCAAGCCGCCGCGACCCUCUCUCCCUCCUCCCCACAUUCUCUCCCAAAUGGCGCCAUUGAUGUCCGGCCGCCCUCCCUCUCCCCCCCGGCGCCCUCUCCUCUCUCUCUCGCUCUAUAAAAGGUCGAGCUUCUCCCUCUCUCUCCCUCCCCGAGCUUUCUCUCUCUCUCGCUCUCCUCGCUCGCCCAUGCUCGCCGUCGACCGGAGCCACGCCUCGCCACUCACCGAAGCCACGCCCCGCACCCCAGCCGAGCCCCUCCCCUGCUCGCCAACCUCCCUGCACACGAGCAAGAGCUCAAGGUAGAAGAAAGCCGUUUUGCGUUUUGGCCCUCUGAAUUCCCGAAAAUUAUUUCUGUAUUUUCUGCAUCACAAAUGUAUGUAAAAGUGAUUCAAAAACCUUAUGUGCUACUCUUCGAUGUAUACGUGUAGUCGUAAACAAGCCUCGCAACAAUAUUUUGACAGGUGUAUGAAUUUAUAUUUCAAAAACAAAUUAUGUCACUAGUCACUAACUUGGUGAUUUUCAUACUAGAAAUGUUUACGAUUAAUUUCGCUUUAGCACAUGAACGAUAAUUGUUAGUAGUGUUUUAAGUGUAAUUUCAUCGAUAUAAGAAAGUAGAAGAAAAUACUAGACCGCAUAUUUUCGGUCAGAUGAAAAUAGAUUUUUACUAGUCAGAAUAAAUGUGUUCAUAAGUAUAGCACUUUAUUACUUAGAAUUAGUAAAAUACUUGUUUAUGUCAUAAUAACCAUGAUUAUGUUAUUAAAGUCCAAUUAGUAAUUUACAUUAAUUCUUAGAAUAUUAAUGUUAGAAGAAUUAUAAAUAAACAAUUUUUAGCUAUACGCAUAACUUCUAUUUAGAAAUAAAAGGGAUAAAACUCAAAAGUCUAUUUUUAGUAUUAAAGAAAAUAAUUAGCAUUUAUUUUCCAUAAAGAUUGUUAAUACAUGUUUAUCUAUAUAAAACUAGUGUCAUAAUCACUAAGUCAUAUUUCCACCAAUAAUGACUCACGGUAAUAGUCAUAAUGAUUAAUAAGUAUUUACGCUUUAAGACUUAUUUAUGAGUAUAAUAAGUGUGAUGUAUGAAUGUGUAUGUAAUGGUGAAUGAUUACUCCUGUAAUGGUGUAUGUUUAUUUAUUUGGCGUACGUAUUUUUUUUGUAUGUACGAUAUGCAAAUCGAUGCUAGAAGUUGACUAUGGGGUAGACGAACCAAACUCGUUCGAGGACGACCCACAGGACACUUUCGAGCAAGGCAAGUGGAUUCUCCCUCAUCAUAUUCUAUUUGUACCCAAGUAAUGCAUAUAAUAAUGUUUACUUUUUGGAUAUAUUGCAUAAUUUGAUGGGAUUUGCCUAAAUAAGGAUUUCCUAGAAUUACCAACCGUAUUCCUUGAAUUACCCUGGGAUAAAUGCUUUGCUUAGCAAUUUUUGCUAUUGCUCAAUUUGAUGAAUAUGAUGUCACUCUUUUAAUGAUACUAUGUUCCAGAAAUGAAGUUUAUUUAUGUUGUUAAUCCGAUGGUUAAACGAGAACAUUUUGUGUUAAAUGGAACAUGGAGUGACCACCCAGGAUAAUAGUGCAACCACGAGUGCUAUCAUGGCUCUGGCUUUGGUAAUUAGCUCUAUAGACUUAGUGCUUAGCAACCCUACCUGAAAGAUGGGCAAGAGGGGGCGACAGUGGUUUGGUGGCAGCUCAUGUUAACAUGGGGUGGUAGUCUUGGCUAAGUUACCUCACCUAGAGGGCCAUCAAUACUGAUGUGGAAACCUUAGCGAGUGGCUUUGUACUAAAGAUAUUUUGUGAAAGCCUCAUAAUGGAUCCCUAGCCAUUCACCUCGGUAGUGUUUACGGGUCCGAUCAACCUAGGCUAGAUGGGUACAUGGCUUGUGGGUAAAGUUGUACCACCUAUGUAGAGUGUAAAACUGAUAUGUCAGUCGUGCUCACGGUUAAGAGCAACCUGGACCCUCACAUGAUAAUUGAACUUAAAGAUGGACAAUAAAUCGAGAUCUGAUGAUCUACCAAUGGUUUGCUUAAGUGGUUUUACUUAAGUGCUUUUGAUGUACUCCUGUUGGGCUGGAAACGAGCCGAGCCAGGCUCGGCUCGGUCACUUCGCGAGCUCGGUAAUGAGGCUCGGCUCGGCUCGGCUCGCGAGCCUAUACACUCAAGUACUCAACAACACUAAUUACAGUCAUUAGCUCAAAUUUGAAGCACAAUAUGUUCCAUAUAAUAAAAAAUUAUGUCUCUGCACUUUAGUUUCUUGUGAGUUGUGACCAAAUCAACACACUGGUCAUUGGAUCUAGAUGACUGGACACUAGUAAACAAACUAACAACUUACAAGUGAUAGUUGCAGUAGUUUGGACCGAGCCUCGAGCCGGCUCGCGAGCCUCACCGAGACGGCUCGGCUCGGCUCGUUAGUGUAGCGAGAUGUAGAAUUAGGCUCAGCUCGGGCUCGUUUAGGCUCGCGGGCCUCACCGAGCCGAGCCUGAUCGAGCCCGAGCCGGCUCGCGUGCCUCGAGCUUUUUUUCCAGCCCUACUCCUGUAUCUUUGAUUAAUUGGGAUACUUGGGAUACACACUUAUUAGUAAGACAGGUGUUGCUAAUAAAAUAUUGACCAACUAAAAUGCUUACCGCUUAUCCAUAGACCACCAUAGCCUACCUUGUUAACUUGCAUUAAUUCCCCCCCACUUGCUGAGCCCCGACCAUAAGUGAGAUCACCCUUACUAAUAUUUUGAUCAGAGGGUGAUGUUGAAGAUUUCGCUAACGAUGAUGAUGAGUUUUAAGUCUAACGAUGCGCCAGUCACCUUCCUAUGGAAGAGUGCCCAUAUUCAAUUCUGCUCUACUUUGAUUUUGAUACUUGUUAAAGAUACAAUGAUUUAGAAGAUGUAAUAAAGUACUCUACUCUCUUUACGCCUUUAUUGCAUUGCCUUUUGAUAUAUUACACUUGUGACGGCAACAUAUGUGUGGGAAAUGGAUCCUGGCCCACAUAUGCUAUGCAUUCGGUUUUGCCUCCAGAACCGGGUGUGACACCUACUGCCCUUGCCCCUUUUGGGUAAGGUAGUCCUCCACUAGCUUUCCUAAUUAGUUAGCCAAGGCCGUCCCAGACCACCCUUGUGGUAGCACUGUUUUCUCCAUGUUCCAAUUAACAUAAUGAUCUUAUCAUGAACAGUAAAUAACAAACUGAUAAUAAAAGUGUGAUCAUGAAUAAUGUAUAUCUCAAUACCCAAAACCACAUAAAGCAAUAGCAUGUACUACCCAAAAAUUUAGUGGUAAACAAGGUAUAAAGAUAGCCAAACUAGGGUAACCUAUUAGGUCCCAUCAAAAUUAACCUAUGCAGAUCAUUAUGAUUAAUAAGAACAUGAGUGGGUAAAAUGAAGUGAUGAAGGGCACAACUUGCCUCAGACUUGAGAUUCUAGGUACCAACUUGCUCUUCAGAUUCUCGUGACCUCACUAGUAGUCGUAGCAAUACAUACAAACAUGGUAUAGGCAAAAUUAACAUCACACCAAACAUAAGGAUAAACUAAAUAAUAAUGAUCUACUCAUCGCUACGAGAUCGUAGGUUCGAGAAUCACUAAAAUCAAAGUUACGGAUAUAAAGUUAUGAUUUUCGGAAGAUUUGAGUGUGGGGUACAAAAGAAAUUAAGUGCAUAGUUUUAUCCUAGAUUUCAUGAUAGAAUAAAAUUACUAGGUGAUAAACAAUAUUACUAUGAAUCUAACGCAACUUGAAUGGAUCAAAAGGAGCUAAAAUGAAUUACUUAUGAAUUAAACAAGUUUCUAGAAUUAUUUUUGUGCUAAAAACUCAUUUAUGUACUAACUAUUAAGCCUGGUUUGUAGACUGCCCCCGCCAGCGUGUAACACCCGCCACGAAUCCAGCUCGCCUCCAGCCGCUUCUCCCGCACGCCCGCCACGAUGCACGCCUUGCCUACCAUAGGCACGCCACCCGCACGCAGCACUCCCCCUCCGUGAAUCACGGCAGGACCCGCACGCCCAUCCGCCGCGAAGCGCCCCAACACCCCCCUUACCUGUGCAACGGGGAGCAGCCCAAGGUCGUCGAUCACCCCAGCUGCGCCGCGCAGCUGCGCGCCAACACUGGAACCGCAGGUGGGCACCUCGUCAAACAUCGAGGCCGAUAGCGACUCCGAGAUGAAGCCGGCCUGGAACUCGAUGGUGCCCUGGUCGGGGUGCGCGACCAUCCCCGUGACGUAGACCCAGAGGAAGAGCUUCUUGGCCUGGACGCCGGAUAGGUCCGAGAUGGCGCCCUUGGAGAGCUUGCCGGUUAUGGUCCUCUCGUAGUAGACGAGGUGGGAGCCGAAGUGGACGUAGCAGGUGCCGGCGAGGUGGAUCUCGAAGGCGCCCGUGGCCUCGUCGAAACUGUAGGAGGCGACGGAGUCCGGGAUGAGCCCCUUCGGGAGGCCGUACUUGGGGAGUAGGUCGUUCGCCGCGCCGCUGAGCGACAUGACUGACACCGUGACCACUGCGGCGGCGGCGACGACGACGGUGAGGAGGAGCACGAUGCGGGGCAGCGGAGACAUUGCUGUUGCGGAUACUGGGAAUUUUUUUUGGGUGUUCCCUUGUGUUUUGCAUUUUGGGAUGUGCAAGACUGACUAUUAAUCCGCUUUAAACUGCUUCUCGACUUGUGGGAUUAAGUUUUUUUAAUUUUCUAUUAUUUUUUACUUCUUCUAUUUUUUAUCAUAUUUUAGUUUAAAAAUAAACUAGAUGAUGAUAAACAUUCGAGAGAUAGUAUAUAUUGAAAAAGAAAGCCGUGACCAUUGUAUAGAAGGUAGAGGUAAUACCCAGAAAACAACCGAAUUGUUGCUGGAAGCUGGUGAGCAAGAGCUUUUAUGCACCUGGGAAGACCCAAUGGACGAGCAGUGCAAACAGGACAGCAAGGACUCGAUUCGGAGAACAAUCGUGGAGCAUGAUAAGGUCUUCAGGCAACAGGUACAUAGCAAGCAGCACCAUAAUUUAUGAGGUAUAUUUGCACACAUAGACGACGAGAAGUUAACAGACUGCUCCAGUUCUGUAAUAAGUUGACGACCAGUUGUUAGUCAGACCUAAGUUGUCUUGUCAUCCAUGGAAUAAGAACAUUUGCAUCUGAUACUGCUUCUUUGCACCAGGUGCAUGAGCUGCAUCGUUUGUACCAUGUACAAAAAAACAUUGAUGGCUGAAUGCAGUGGCCACAAGUAUCAACCGAGAGCAGAAGGAACUCAUGAAGUGGUGUAGGGAUCAAGGUCGAACCUCAAGUGCAGUCCUUCUACCUCAGGGACAAACCAAUCUGCUCUCCUUGGUAAUGCACAAUACCCAGCUCCGCAGCAAGUACAUGAAGAUUUGAGUCUCCAUGAAUGCAAGCCAGUGAACUGCAUCAGCCUCUUCGGUGAAGAAAACUCAGCAGCCAAAGAAAGGUUUCACGGGGAGAACCAUAAAUCAGUUGAAGAUGAAAGCUGGAGCGCCGCUGUAGAGAGUGAUCUUGACCUCAAACUGAGCAUCGGCCCUAGCUCACAUUCACUAGAAACACCAUGCUGGCUAUUCUCAGGAAGCAGGGAAAGAAACCCUUCUGACCAGCAUCGAUGAGAGCAAGCUCUAAAUAGUUACCUGCAGGGGGGCGACAGGAAGGACGUCUUCUUUUACCAGGCUGAUGAUCAGCACUUCAUACCUAGGUCUCUGCUUAUUGACCUGGAGCCGAGAGUGAUCAAUGGAAUCCAUAACAGCGAGUACAGGAACCUGUACAACCACGAGAACAUAUUUGUCGCUGAGCAUGGUGGUGGUGCCGGGAACAACUGGGCCAGUGGGUAUCAUCAGUUAGAGUUUCUCUGUAUAUCUCUGCUUGGACCUAAUGUUUCCAUUGGAUCAACCUGUCGGUGUUUUGGGUCCGACCGCACACCCAGGGUUGCCCCUCAAGGUGUUUUCUAGGAGUAGGACGGUGUCCACGACUGUAGCAAAAUGGUUCGUGCCGAUCGCACGAGAGACAGUGAACAAGAUUUAUAGGUUCGGGCCGCUUAGAGAUGUGUAACACCCUACGUCCUGAUGAGAAUUCGGCUGUGGUUACAAGAGGGCUCUCUGGGUUGAAGGCACAGAGAGUUUACGUGGGUGGCUAAGUAGGACAGGGUCGAUCCUUCUGAAGGGGUGCCCCCUAGGCCUUAUAUACUCGACCGUGGGGCAGUACAUGUGAUAUGAUAACAACAAGUAGCUAAAAGAUAGUGAACCUCUUGAGUUUAUCCCUACGUAACCCUCGCCGACUUAUCCUCGCAUGGCUCCGUUGCAUGGGGGCCUCAGCGCGGGAAAGUCGGGUCUCUGUUGCGAUUCAUUCGUUCGACGUUGUGGGCCGUCCGGGUCUCACGUCUUCUCUUCUUUGUUGGUUGUCUUUCCCUAGGCCCACGAAGGAAUGACCUUACGAAUUAUUGGGCCCUUGGGCCUUUCGUGAGGCCUUUUACUUCUUUAGUGGACCCAGGGGAUAUCUAUCCCCCACAAGCCCCCGAUCUUUGGGUUGAUUUAGAGGUAAUCAACCCAAAGAUCCAAGGUCCAGAAAAUGACUUCCUGCUGUCUUCUCUGACUCUGAUCACUCGUCCGACCAAAGUUUGGUUUUGUGCUUGUGCCUUAGAGGUCGGCAUUUUGGAUUGUAAGACUCCGGAAUUCAUUGGGUGCACCGGAGGUGCACCCAAUGGGUGUAGCCCCCGACCUUUGAGUAGAUUUUAGAAGAUAAUCUACUCGAAGGUCUUCUUCCAAAGGUUAUCUCCAUUCGCGCUCCUGCAUCUCGGUUGAGGAUUAGUCUUUUCAAUCUUGCUCUACGCCUUAGAAGUCGGCGCUAUACCGGUUUAGAAUAAUAUUCCAUGGGGUGCACCGGAGGUGCACCCAAUGGGUGUAGCCCCCGACCUUCAAAUGGAUUUUUUAAGGAUAAUCCAUUCGAAGGUCUUCUUUUCGCUUGUGGAAACUAGCAUGAGGCUAUUUUGCAUUAUGCUUUGGAGGUCAGCAUUAUGUCAUCAAUAUUUUGCUGCCAAGGUCAGCGUAUAUUUUGUCUUUAGCAGCCGAGUUUGCAAUCCAUCCAUAUCUUGCUAGGUAGUGCAAUUUAUUUGCUUCUGCGAUUGAUUGGACGUUUGACGGACGUUCUCUGUCUAGUCUUCACGUCGCUUCUGUCGGCCAUAUCUUGUACUUUGCUGGUUAUAUUUGGCUUUCCUCUGAUCCUUACUGAUAUCUCAUUUUUGUCUUGAAGUAUUCACUGCAUGCCCUGCACGGAUGUGACCGUUUGAAAAAUAUACUGAUAAUUCCUGGGCGUCCCCCCCCAAUGGGUGUGGGCAAGGGACGGCUUGGUACGCUGAGUGUUUUAGCCGGUUGCCUCUGAGUAGUAAUGCGAUGGGACGGCUAGUGUAAUCAUAUCCUUUGCGCUGUUGACUGGAGUCCCAAUGGGUGUAGUGUUGCAUGAAACGGCGUCCGCCGUCUGACGUGUCUUCAGAUGGGUGGAAGUGCUUAUUGAAUGCCUUGCGACUGUUCAGUGACCGCGGUUAGAAGUGAGCGGUUGCCUUUCCCUUCUAUAAAUAACCCCUUUGCUUCUCUGGUUUCUUCACAUCUCUUCGUUGCUCCUUACUGCCUUCUUUUCCUCCCCUCUGUCUGCUUCCGCCAUGGGCAAGAACAACAAGCGCAAGCGCGAGCCGACUCCUCCAUCGGAGGAUUUCGGUGACUCGGAAUACUCGGAGGAGGAGUUCUCCUCCGAGUCCGAGGGGUCUCCGGCUCCCGUCUCUCCCCCGGCGUCGUCCGAUGACUCGGACGACUCCCAGGGGAUAGCCGCGGAGGUCUGGACGUACAUCCGGGCCGUCGAGCGCUCCGGGCUCGAAGGCUCGGAUGAGUCGGAGUACUCCUCGGAUGAGGAGGACUCGGACGGCGGCGACGAGGGUGAAGACGACGACGACGACGACGACGACGACGACGGCGACGGUGACGGCAGCGGCAGUGGCAGGGGCGGCGGCGACGGCAGCAGGGACAGCACCAAGGGCGACAGCAGCAGGGGCAGCACCAAGGGCAGCAGCAGGGGCAGCACCAAGGGCGGCGGCGGCGGCAGGGGCAGGGCCAGUGGCUAGACGCCACUGGUCUUCUUAGAUGUUAGUAUAGUUUAGUAUAGCUAGAAUAAUGUAGUAGUAAUUAGUGUAAUUUAGUAGUAGUAGUAAUGUAGAGUAGAAUUAGGGAAGUACCAACUCGUGAAGAGUUGGUUUGUAAACUUGUUAACUUCCCUUUAAUGAAGACUGUCGUUCAUCCCCUCUUUUUGAUGACUUGUCAUUGCUUUUGCUGAAUGUUGAACUGAUUCUUUUGAUAUAGUAGAAAUAACGCCAAGCGAUGCGAAGAUUGACAUCAGCGUUUUAGAAGUAACACUGAGCAAUCGAACACAAGACCAGCGUUUUAGAGGCAACGCCGAAUGACAGAAGGUCGGUAUCGGCAUUUUAGAAGUAAUGCCAAGCGACAAAAUACGGGGCCAGCAUUUUUAGAAAUAACGCCGAGUGAUUGAAUGUCGGCGUCAGCAUUUUAGAAGUAAUGCUGAGCGUUUGAACACGUGGUCGGCGUGUUAAAGGACAUGCCGAGUGAUUGAAGGUCGGCUUCGGCAUUUUAGAGGCAACGCCGAGUGAUUGAGCACGUGGUCGGCGUUUUAGAGGUAGCACCGAGUGAUUGAAGGUCGGCGUCGGCAUUUUAGAAGUAAUGCCGAGCGAUUGAGCACGUGGUCGGCGUUUUAGAGGUAACACCGAGUGAUUGAAGGUCGGCGUCGGCAUUUUAGAAGUAAUGCCGAGCGAUUGAACACGUGGUCGGCGUUUUAGAGGCAGCGCCGAGUGAUUUGAAGGUCGGCGUCGGCAUUUUAGAAGUAAUGCCGAGCGAUUGAACACGUGGUCGGCGUUUUAGAGGCAGCGCCGAGUGAUAGCCAGCUUCCCAAGUUACUUUGAGGAAAAUGACCGAGUGAUGAGGUGGCACAUCGGCUUUUUUUGGAAAUAACUGUUGGAUAUCCACGUGGCAUGCUGGGAUUUCGGAGAUGACCGCCGGGUGAUGACUGGGCACCUUUUGAAAAGGUAUCUGGCUCAAGAAUAUCCCUUAAGAGUCGCGCUUCUAGCCGCCUUUGCUUUCCGUGCCCUAGUUCUUGCAUUUCCGCAUCUGAGUCUUCUCUGCCACUCGCCUCCUACUCUGUUUCGCCAGCGAGAAGCAAGAUGGCGCCCAAGAGGAAGACUGCGAACUCGUCUGCCGCAGUGAUCCCCGCUAUCGACCCCAACAGUCAGUUACCCUUCGCAGGUAACCAUAUGUCUGUAAUUUCUGAAGCUGAGCUUCUCCGCCUUGUCUCCAUCGGGGUUCUCCCUCCACGGGAACUCUGUUCUUGGCGGGCUUGCCACGGGACUACUGUCCCAACCGAAGAUACCCACGAGUCAGUGGUUUACACUCCUUUCCUUCUUCGCGGCCUCGGCCUUCCCAUAUCUCCUUUUUUCCGUGGCAUCCUUGAUUUUUAUCACAUCAACCUGACUCACUUGAACCCUAACUCCAUUCUCCAAAUCUCUAUUUUCGUUCACCUUUGUGAAGCUUAUCUCGGCGUGCUGCCGCAUUUUGGUUUAUGGAAGUAUCUGUAUCAUUGUCGCCCUGGGAUGGCCGGGGGGCAACAUCAGUUGGUCGGAGGUGCAAGUUUAGAGAUGCGCCGUGGGCGGAAGACCGAGUAUCUCGAGAUACCCCUCAAAGACAGCAUUAAAGGUUGGUGUCUGGAGUGGUUUAUAAUGGAUAAUUAUGGAAAUUCUCUCCCUUCCCGCUCAGGAAGACAGCCAGAUGUUCGUACUCCAAGUUGGACUGAGUCUCCCACGGACCAAGAAGUGGCCGAGGCAGGCGUGUUGCUUACUGAAGUUGGAUUACUGAAAGAGAGAGGUCUGACUGCCGAAGCUGUGGUCACAGAUUUUGUUUUCAAAAACAUUCAGCCGCUGAAAGACAGGGCCUAUCCGGCAUAUCUUUACCGAGGGCUGGCCGACUCAACCCGAGUUACCAAUAGGAGAAUUCCUUCUGCUGAUUUGGUAAGCCGACUCGAAAUGAUCCUCAGGGGUAAAGUUUCAAACGUUGGUGCUCCAGUGGCAUACUCGGCUUGGAACCUGCCUCCUCCCAAAGAUUUCACCCUUUUUGUGUCAAAUCCGCCUGUGACUGACAGCAAUUUGGGCCUUAGAGUGUGACCCUCUGCUGAGGAAGUCAAUUCUUUAGUUGCUUCGCUCGGGGCGAUUUCUGAUGAUGAACGGCAGGUUUAUUUUGAAGUGCCUCUGAAUCCCAGUGAUGCUGACAUAAAUGAUAUGCUUGAUUUAUUAGCUGAGGAUUCGUCCGAUGCUGCUCCUGUUGGUACCUUGGCGGUGGUGCCCCUUCCAGAGGUUGAUACAACUUUGGAUGUCUCAAAAACUGUCAGCACUCGUCCGAGGCGUCCUAGCCGAACCAGUCAGCCCGAGCCUUCUGCUGAUGAGCAGAAGAAGAAAAGAAGACGCCUCCGGCGAGUGUCCAGCUUUGACGAGGAUGCCAGCACCUUAGCUCCUGCUGCCGAAGAAAUGACUGCAACUGGCCUUGCUGACAUUGAUCCCAAUGGGUGUGCUCCGCCUGCUACCGACCCCAAUGAGGAUGCUGUUUGUGCUGUUGCUGUGGAAGAUGAGUAGGAAGAGAAUGAAACUCCAUUAACUCGGAAAAACAGUCGGCAGUUCGUCGCUAGCGGUGGUAGUAGUGGGGUUCCUUCUCCUGCCUUGUCUGCUCUUAUUGGUCUGCAAGAACUGUCCAUGGCCAAUUUUGAUCAAGCUCUAGAGGAUAUGGUCCCUGAGAACUUGUUGUUGGAACCUGCAGACGUUGAUGCAACAGAAACUUGCGCAGCCGUGCCAGAUGCUGGGUUGAGGUCGUCUCGUGCCUCGUCGACCUUAGAGCACGAUCUCGAGGGCCGGGAUGAUGACUUGGAUCGUCCUGAUCCUAUGGAAGUAGCUGAAAGCCCGUCAACCUUAGAGGUGGUCACGGCAGAGAGCUUGGAUCCUUUGAAUAGCGCUGACAUGUGCCCAGCCCCCGAGGGUGUCGCCGGGGAGGACUCAGCUCAGGUGAGGAGUGUAGGCCACUACCCAGCCCCCGAGGGUGUUGCCGGGGGUGACCCGGCUCGAGUGGGCAGUGCCAACCUUGACCCAGCCCCCGAGGGUGUCCGAGCGAGGUCUCCCUCCUGCAGUUCUAUGGAUGUUCACGUGGGUUCACCUCCACACUCUGGCGGCAUGGUGGUUGCUCAAACUCCAGAUCAGGGGGUCGCUUUAGAGGGCAGCAUCCCCACUAGUCUGGAGUUAGGCUCUGCUGAAUGUACUGAGCUCGUUCCUGCUGGUCUACUGCAAACUGCUUCGGGUGGUGGUCUGACACCUGACUAUCAGCUGAUUUCUCCUGACUUGGGGAUCCCUUCGUUCUUUUCCAACCUCCAGGUGCUGUGCUGUGCUUUAGUUUGAUCUUUAUGUUGCAUGAAUUGCUGUCAUUAUGCUCAUCUGUUCUUCUCGUCAGGCUUUGGUGAAUGGAUUGGCCAGUCAACUGAAAACACAGGGCGCUUCCACCCCAGAAGUGGCUUCAUCUCUCGAGCGUUGGAAUCCGGUGUUGCUUCGGGGUCGUGUAUCUGAGUUGGAGGCCACCAAUGCUGGUUAGAGUCCUUUCUUCUUCUUCUUUGUUCUUGCCCGUGGGUUGUUUUACCUUCUGACCUCAUUUUGUUUGAAUACCUCUUGAUAGGGAUGACUCGGCAGAUCACAGUUCUUGAAGAAAAACAUUCCCAAGAUCAAGCUGAAAUGGCCCGACGAUGCGCUGACUUCGAGGAGAAGUAUUCUCAAAGUCAGAUCGAGUUGAGUCAGGUCUCUGCGGCUUUGGAUGAUGCCAACGCUCUGAGUUCUUCUCUUCAUGCUCAGCUUGACUCUGAGAAGGUAGCUUACGAACCUGUGCUUCGCCUUAUCAUGAUCUUGGAUUCCGAAUGAGUUGAUUUUUGCUUGUAGGAAGAAAAACGCAUUCUUGCUGCUUCUCGCGACAACUUGGACAGAUUGUACCGUGAUUCCAGCAACUCGCUGACCAUCUUGGAGAGGAGCCACCGUUUUACGAUGGAGGAGCUUGACAAUCAGCGCCGUCAGCUGCAAGAAUCCUCGGACGAAGUGGCCCGCCUUACAUAGCUGCUAUCGGCAAAGGAUGCCACCAUCAAGGGACUCCGAGCUUCUAAGAAAUCUAUUGCCCAGGAGUUAGAAACUGCCCAGCAGGCUGUUAAAGUUGCCAAAGAAGCUGCUGUCACUUUCAAAGCUCAGCGCGAUAAGGCCCUGGACAAGGCCAUUCGAGCGGGACGAAUCUUGAUGAGAAGACCCGGCGUGGUUGUCCCUGAAGAUAUAAGAGCUGAUGUGAAUGCUGCCCCUGAUUCCUCGAAUCGCCCUUCUUCGUCAGUCGUUCCUGAGAAAGACAUUGGAAAAUAAAGAAACAGUUCGCGCGCUCUAAGCGCGCAGUUAGCAUGAUCAAGUACUUGUUAGAGGUUAUCGGCUUAUCAUUCGAAUGACGUGAUUACUCCCUUAUUGUAUCAGAAUUUAUUAGUUCGCAAGUUUGUGGUAACGCUGCACGAUGAUUAAGAAGUUUGUUUGUGGGAUAUGGAGAUCAUCCCUUGAACUGCAUAAGCGCGAGUAUGCUAUACUGGUUUAAGCCGUCAAUGACUUUUAGUCGGUAACUUCCGUUAGUAGGGUAUAGUGGUCACCCUAGGUAAAGUAGGCGUGAGCAUGUUGCACCGCCUUAAAUCGUUGCCGACUUAAGUCGAUUGCUCCGUUUGUAGGGCAUAGUGGUCACCCCGAGUUAAGUAAGCGUGAGCAUGUUGCACCGCCUUAAGUCGUUGCCGACUUAAGUCGAUUGCUCCGUUUGUAGGGCAUAGUGGUCACCCCGAGUUAAGUAAGCGUGAGCAUGUUGCACCGCCUUAAGUCGUUGCCGACUUAAGUCGAUUGCUCCGUUUGUAGGGCAUAGUGGUCACCCCGAGUUAAGUAAGCGUGAGCAUGUUGCACCGCCUUAAGUCGUUGCCGACUUAAGUCGAUUGCUCCGUUUGUAGGGCAUAGUGGUCACCCCGAGUUAAGUAAGCGUGAGCAUGUUGCACCGCCUUAAGUCGUUGCCGACUUAAGUCGAUUGCUCCGUUUGUAGGGCAUAGUGGUCACCCCGAGUUAAGUAAGAAUGCAAGUCAAUCAUAAAUGAGCCAAGUAUCUCUGAAAUCUCUCUUUAUUGAUGACGUACUUCCAUUAUACAGAAUACAUGGUCGCUCCGGCUGUUUUGAAAUACAGCUAGGGGUAGAACUUUCGGAGGUGCUCUAUGUUCCAGGAGUUCCCAACUUCCGUGCCAUCCAUUUGGGUGAGGCGAUAUGAUCCGGGCCGAGUGACUUCUGCUACUAUGAAAGGCCCUUCCCAUAAGGGUGAUAACUUGUGCCGUCCCUCCCCCGUUAGAAUUCGGCGGAGGACGAGGUCUCCCUUCGAAAAGAAACGUUGCCGCACAGCUUUGUCGUGGUAGCGCCUUAGAGUCUGCUGGUAUCGUGCUGAUUGAAUCACUGCAUUCAGUCGUUCUUCCUCAAGUACGUCAAUAUCCUCCAGCCUAGUGGCUUCGGCUUCUGCUAUGCUUUCGAAGAUCAAUCUUGGCGCCCCAAACUUGAGAUCAGCAGGUAGCACUGCCUCCGACCCAUAGACCAUGAAGAAAGGAGUGUUUCCAUGCAGGGCCCGGCUAGGUUGGGUUCUCAAGCUCCAAACAACAUAAGGCAAUUCUCUUAUCCAUUUUCCUGCGAAUUUUUCAUUCUUAUCAAAGACCCUUUUUCUAAGUGCCUCCAAUAUCAUUCCGUUGGCUCGCUCAACCUGCCCGUUGGCUCUCGGAUGGGCUACAGAUGCAUACUUGAUCUGAAUGCUUUUUUGCUCGCAGAAGUCAAAGAAUUCUGAACUGGUGAAGUUGGAUCCCAAGUCAGUGAUGAUACUGUUUGGUAUCCCAAAUCUGAAUAUUAUGCUUUGUAUGAAUUCCACGGCUUUAGCAGAGGUUAAAGAGGCAAUGGGCUGGAACUCUAUCCAUUUAGUGAAUUUGUCAAUUGCCACCAAUACAUGGGUGUAUCCUCCUUGAGCUUUCUUGAAAGGUCUGAUCAUAUCCAAUCCCCAGCAUGCGAAAGGCCAAGUUAUUGGUAUGGUCUGUAGCUGCUGUGCUGGCAUGUGCUGUUGCUUUGACAGGUAUUGACAAGCUUCGCAUCUCUGAACUAACUCGGCUGCGUCGUUCUUCGCCGUCGGCCAAUAGAAUCCUGACCUGAAGACCUUCCCGACUAGUGUUCUGGAGGCUGCAUGUAUUCCACAUUGCCCUGCAUGGACUUCCUCCAGAAGUUGCUUCCCAGUGGACGGGAGAAUACACUUCAUGAGAACCCCUGAUGCACCCCUUCUGUAUAAUAUCUCCCCAAUGAGUGUGUAGUGAGCCGACUGUCUGGCAAUGCGCUCUGCUGAGUUCUUGUCGUCUGGCUCUUCUUCGUUCUUUAUGUACUUAAUGAUUGGCCUCCUCCAGUCAUCAGAGUCUGACUCGGGUUGAUCUACGAUGUUGCACUCUUCUGUUUGGUCUAUUGAGAUACUCGGCCGUGUAAUUUCUUGCACGAAAACUCCGGGUGGGACCUGAGUUCGACCGGAUCCGAGCUUGGAUAGUGUAUCAGCUGCUGUGUUACGAUCCCUUUCCACAUGAUGAAAUUCCAGACCCUCGAACUUAUCUUCCAGCUUUCGAACGGCAGCGCAAUAUUUUCCCAUUGAAUCACUUGAACAAUCCCAUUCUUUGUUUAUCUGGCUAAUGACUACCAGAGAGUCUCCAUAUACCAUCAAUCUCUUGACGCCCAGUGAUAUGGCGAUGUUUAAUCCGUGUAUCAAAGCUUCAUACUCGGCUGCGUUGUUAGAGGCCGGGAAUAGCAGCUGGAGAGCAUACUUGAGGUGCUCGCCUCCAGGUGCAGUGAAGAGAAUUCCUGCUCCUGCUCCUUGCAGUUUCAGCGAGCCAUCAAAAUACAUUCGCCAUACUUCUGCGGUUUCUGGAUUAUCCGGUACUUGCUGUUCUGUCCAUUCUGAUACGAAAUCAACCAGUGCUUGAGUUUUGACGCCUGUGCGAGGUCGGAACUCGAUAUCAUGGGAUCCCAACUCGCAUGCCCACUUGGCUAUUCGGCCAAUGGCUUCCUUGUUGUGAAGAAUGUCUCCUAUUGGAAAACCAGUAACUACUAUGACUUUGUGGUCGUCAAAGUAGUGACGCAGCUUGCGGGCAGUUAGAAGUACUGCAUAUAAUAGCUUCUGAACUUGAGGAUACUUUUUCUUUGAUGGACCCAGAACCUCACUGAUGAAGUAGACAGGAUGUUGUACCGGAUAAGCAUGCCCUUCUUCCACUCGUUCGACUACCAACGCAGUGCUUACCACGUGAGUCGUGCAAGAGAUAUAUAGCAGCAAAUCUUCAGCUGGUUGAGUUGGCGUAGCUCGCCGUGGCGGCUUUAGUACUGGUGGUGUUGUCAGGAAUUUUUUAAGUGCAUCUAGAGCUUCUUGUGCUUCUGAAGUCCAUUGAAACUUAUCCACCUUCUUAAGCAGCUUGUAAAACGGCAAGCCUUUCUCCCUCAGUCUGGAUAUAAAUCUGCUUAGAGCUGCCAUACAUCCUGUGAGCCACUGAACCUUCUUUUGUGACCGAGGAGCUUCCAUCUUCAUGAUAGCUUCAAUCUUAUCUGGAUUAGCCUCAAUUCCCCGGUGGCUGACGAUAAAUCCGAGCAACUUUCCUGCUGGUACCCCGAAAACGCAUUUUUCAGGAUUGAGCUUCCAUCUAUAUCUUCUCAGGCUGUUGAAAACCAGCUGUAAAUCUUCGAUGAAGUUUUCUGGAUUCUCAGUUUUGAUCACCACGUCAUCAACGUAAGCCUCCACACGCUUGCCCCAGUGAUCGGCUAGGCAUGUUUGAAUGGCCCUCUGAUAAGUCGCUCCAGCGUUUUUGAGGCCGAACGGCAUGGAGGUAUAACAGAAGGCACCAAACGGAGUGAUGAACGCCGUUUUUUCCUCGUCUUCUUUUGCCAAACUAAUCUGAUGAUACCCGGAAUAGCAAUCUAAGAAAGACAACACAGAACAUCCAGCGGUGGAAUCCACCACCUGAUCUAUCCUCGGGAGCCCGAAGGGAUCCUUCGGACAGUGCUUGUUGAGAUCGGUAUAGUCGACGCACAUGCGCCAAUCCACUUUAUUCUUUUUGAGUACAAGAACAGGAUUGGCUAACCACUCAGGGUGUAAUACUUCUCUAAUAAAUCCAGCCGCGACCAGGCGAGCUAAUUCGGCACGAAUGGCUUCUCUCUUGUCGGGCGUAAAACGACGUAGCUUUUGUCGAAUCGGCCUCGCCUGGGGGUAGACUUUCAGUUUGUGCUCGGCCAGUUCUCUUGGGACUCCCGGCAUAUCCGCAGGUUGCCACGCGAAUACAUCCCGAUUAUCUUGCAGAAACUGGACGAGCGCGCUUUCCUAUUUGUCAUUCAAACUCGAGCUGAUGACAGCCGUCUUGCGCUCGUCAGCGAACCCCAGGUUGAUUCUUUUGGUUUCUUCAGUCGGCCGCAUAGAGGUCGCGGCCUGAGUUUCAUUCGCUGGUACCGUGAGGCCUUCCUCAGGCUUAGAGUUCGCCGAUGUAGAAGGAACCGCCGACGGCUUGGUGGUGAGGGCUGCCUGAAUGGCCACUCUGAAACACUCUGCAGCGCCUUGGAAGUCGGCACGCACAGUUAUGAUUCCUCGUUGUCCUGGCAUCUUCAGUAUCAUGUAUGUAUAGUGCGGAAUGGCCAUAAAUUUGGCCAGUCCCGGCCUCCCGAUGAUGGCGUUGUACCCGCAGUCGAAGUUCGCCACCUCGAACCUCAGGAACUCGGUUCUGUAGUUCUCCGGAGUUCCGAAGGUGACCGGCAUGUAGAUGUGACCCAGCGGGUAUUCCCCUUCCGUCGGCACGAUGCCGAAGAAAGGAGUGUCCGACUCGUGGAGCUCUUUGAGGUGAACUCCCAAGCCUUGGAGUGUACGGGGGAAGGUGACGUUGAUGCUGCUCCCCCCGUCCACUAGCACCUUCUUUACCCGGCUCUCUCGGAUCACCGGAUCGACGAGGAGCGGGUAUUUGCCUGGAUGGUCAAAGUUGAGCCACUGAUCCUCCCGAGUGAAAGUGAUCGGGUGCUCCGACCACCGGUACGGGGCGGGAGGUCCGGUGGUUGCCACCAGUAUCUGGCGGUCGUUGAGCUUUUGUUGUCUUUUGUUCUCCUGCGACCCAUGUCCGCCGAAGAUGACGUUGACCUCCCUGUCAACGCGCGGGAAAGCUCCUCCUCCCCCCUCCUCCUGCCGACGGGGCUGUUGUGGUUCAUCAGGUCCUCCCCUCGGCGGAGGAGGCGGUAGAGGUUGGAAGGGUCGGCCGUGCCCGACGGAGUGCUUGAAAUCCCGGCAGUUUCGAAGGGUGUGGCGCAUGUCCUUGUGGUACGGGCACUGGGCAUCGAGGAUGUCGUCCAGCGUGCGCUCGCCUCCACGAGGUCCUCCUCGGGCGCGAGAGGCGGGUGGUCCGGCGGCGUGUACUUCUUCUCGAGGCCUCUUCUCCCAGCGUUUGUCAGACGGCUGGUUCGCGUCACGUCGUGGCGCUGCUGGUGCAGGCUUUGCUCCUCCGAUGAGAUCUUGGGCCCGCUCGUCGGCGGUGAUGUAGAGGUCGGCUUCCCGGAACAGCUCCUCGGAGGUAGUCGGCGCCUUUUGUAGUAUGGCUCGGACGAAAACCGAGUCAUUGGAUCCUCUGUAGAAGUCCUCGAUCACGGCUGCCUCCGUGACCUCGGGGAUGCGGUUUCUCAUGGUCUGGAACCUUUUAAGGUAUGAUCGGAGAGUCUCGUCCCCCCGGCGCUUGAUGGAUUUGAGGUCCCAUGGUUGCGCCGGCUUGUCGGAGAGGGACUGGAAGUUGGCGAUGAAACAUCGACUGAAGUCUCCCCAGUCGUCGAUGCAGUGUCGGGGUAGAUGUCGCAGCCACUGCAGCGCAUCUUGCCCAAGGACGAUGGGCAGAUACGCGGUCAUGACGUCUUCGGAUGCUCCGGCAGCUCGAGCGGCAGUGGUGUAGACGGCUAACCAACCCCCUGGAUCCUGCUUAGGUUCAUAUUUGUCAACAUUGUAUACCUUGAAGUUGGGAGGCCAUUGGAUGGCCCUAAGGCGUGGAGUGAGUGCAGAUACUCCGCACGUGUCCUCCUGUCGUCGGGGAUGACGUCUGUCCCGGGGAGGGGAGUGGUGGUGGCGGUCCCUCGACCGUCCCCGGGUGGUACCGCCAGUUGAAGCUGUUGUCGACUCAGUCCUGGUGGCCUGGCUUUGAGUCGGGAAGCCAUGAUCUCGGUCAUACUCCUCCCGACGGCGAAUUUCGUUCUCAUGCCGCCGUUCGCGCGAAGCAUUGAUGGAGCUUCGCGCGUCUCGGCGACUGUUGAUGGUGUGUCGCAAAUCGUUCGGCGGGUGAGCGAGCGGUAGAAGAUGGUUGGCCGCCUUAGUAAACAGGCGUCGGUACCCUUCGGCGUCGGGAGUCCGAGGAAGUCCGUCAGCUAUCCGAGCUAGAACGCCUCCGACUUCGCUCGGCGUGUUCAUAGCUCGAGCAAAGUCGGGGUUCAAGUUGCGCCCGAAGAGCGGAUUCUCCCGGCGUUGCCUUGCAUCUUGCUCGGCUUGCUCCUGAAUCCGCCGGCGAUCACGUCGUCGGGAGUUCCUUCGUUCCCUGAAGACGCGUUCUUCCGGAGUUUCUCCUACCUCCGAGACCUCGUCUCGCGAGACAGGCUGCUCCGGAUCCUGCUCUCCGGCCGCGUGAUGUCGUCGAACGUUCCUGCGUCGGUUCCUUCGUCGGCGGGAUUCUCGCUGAGGCGGUUCUUCUCCAGGCGCGGUCGGUUCAUCGUCGGAGACGACGAGUGACUCUGCUCUCCCGAUGAAGAGGACGUCGGGGUAGAACAGCAUUGCUGCCGCGGCGACUUUCUUUCCGUUCUUCCUUGAGAUCGGAGGAACGGGAAGAACGAUUUGCCUCUCCCUGGUCUCCUUCUUUCUCACGACCCGUGUCCAUUCUUUCGUCGGGGAAGUAGACAGCGGACUCUUCCGGGUCAGCGAGCUUCUAGCUCCAGCUUCCCCGGAGACGAUCUUUUUCCGAAGAGCCGGAAGUAGCGUCUUUCCAGCAUUUUCGGAGUUUGUUGGAGGAGACUUCUGUUCCGGCAGAUCUACGAGGCGGUGUAGAAUUCCUUCUUCAUCUGCUACGGACGAGAUUGUCCCGAAGCAGAAUACAGAUCCGGGACGCACGGCGAUUUUGUUAUGGAAGGUGACGGCCAUUGAGCUAGCUUGGAUCGUCGACACACCCCCUACCUGGCGCGCCAGCUGUCGGUGUUUUGGGUCCGACCGCACACCCGGGGUUGCCCCUCAAGGUGUUUUCUAGGAGUAGGACGGUGUCCACGACUGUAGCAAAAUGGUUCGUGCCGAUCGCACGAGAGACAGUGAACAAGAUUUACAGGUUUGGGCCGCUUAGAGAUGCGUAACACCCUACGUCCUGAUGAGAAUUCGGCUGUGGUUACAAGAGGGCUCUCUGGGUUGAAGGCACAGAGAGUUUACGUGGGUGGCUAAGUAGGACAGGGUCGAUCCUUCUGAAAGGGUGCCCCCUAGGCCUUAUAUACUCGACCGUGGGGCAGUACAUGUGAUAUGAUAACAACAAGUAGCUAAAAGAUAGUGAACCUCUUGAGUUUAUCCCUACGUAACCCUCGCCGACUUAUCCUCGCAUGGCUCCGUUGUAUGGGGGCCUCAGCGCGGGAAAGUCGGGUCUCUGUUGCGAUUCAUUCGUUCGACGUUGUGGGCCGUCCGGGUCUCACGUCUUCUCUUCUUUGUUGGUUGUUUUUCCCUAGGCCCACGAAGGAAUGACCUUACGAAUUAUUGGGCCCUUGGGCCUUUCGUGAGGCCUUUUACUUCUUUAGUGGACCCAGGGGAUAUCUAUCCCCCACACAACCAAUCUUGCAGGCUCUGUAGACUUUCUUCUUUUGUCACUUGGCUAAAUGCUUAUUUUCUUGUUUUAGGAAUACAUGUUCAAAUUCCUUUUCAUAUUCUCAUAGGGUGAACAAGUUGUUGAUGAUAUCAUGGACAUGGUUGACAGAGAAGCAGAUGGAAGUGAUAGUUUUGAGUUUGGUUCUGUAUUGGUGGUUGGCAAAGAAUAUAUAUUGUUCGUUUUUAUUUGUGUAUCGUCACAAUGUACAUGCAUUGUACUAUAUAUUUUAUAUGUUAGUUUUCUUACACUUGAUAUUUCCAGAAAUUAUUAGUGAUGAUAAAUCCAAUAUUGUUGUUCCAUGAAAUUUGUUGGGAGAUGGAAAUUAUGGUCAUCAACAACUCUAGCACACACAGUGUGCUUUGAACUAAGGAUUAGUUCCUAUAUAAUGGCACAUUGGCACUAACAUUGUUAUACAUUUUAAUGCACCCGUAGCAACGCACGGGCAUAGACCUAGUUAAAUAUUAAUUAAACAUUUUCUGGUAAUCUAUGGACUGCAGAUACAAAAACCAGGGACCCCAUGGUUGUUUUUGUUAAUUUCAGGACCUCAGCGUAAUAUUCUCUCAACAUCAUAAGACGGCGGGUUUAUUUUUAAUAAAGCCAGGAGCUCAUUAGCAAAAAGGGCGAGUCGAAGGGGUACCUCUUGCUGUGAGCCGUCCGAUCAAGAUCCGGUGGACAAAAUAUAACGACGAAGGGUAAGUAACCGUAACCCCUGAUCCAUGGAUCAGCGGUCCAGAUCCAAUGCAGGCGUGAUCCACUUUGAACGGCAGGAUCAUGAUCAAACGACCAUGAUUACUAGUGACGAAGAGUUAUGCAGUCGUCUAAUCUACACCGCAGGUGACUGAUCCAACGGCCGAACACCAUCUUCCUCCUCACGCGCACACAACGCGGUGGAGCGCUCUCCCCCAUGGUGGCGCUGCACAUCAGAGCCACGCCCGGUCGGUGCUCCCAGAUUCAUCAACGGCAGGUCUAGCACAGAUGCAAGAGGGAACGGCGGUGAACAUAAUGGGGAUCUUCUUACCAUGGAACAAGAAGCGAGGUGCCCCACCCACGUGAUCCGCGCCCCGGCGGCGAGAUCCCAGCAAUCGCAGAAGUCAACACGAGCGACGACAUUGGACUCACGCCCUCGCUCCCAUGCCUUCCCACGCGUGUGGAUAACACGAGCACGAACCCCAGGGCAGCGUUGGCGAGCGCGUACACGGGCACCCUGGCGAGCCGCGGAAGAAGCGCGCCUCCCACAUCUCGUCGGUGUGGGCAUAUAUGCGGGGCUGCGAUAGCUUCAAAAGCUUAGGGAUGGUGAAGGGGAUCCGCGAGCUCCGUUUAUAUACUACGAUGAGGCAAGAUGGCCAAUAGGCGCUCUUUAGCGAGGUUCUCGGUUUGUUACGAUCUCCGAUGAGGGAGACGGAGUUGUCCACAGUGGCGGACCCAGCUGCUAAAAAUGUUUAGGGUGUGCCAAGAAAAAAAAAUAAAGAAACAAACAAAAAAUAAGGAUCAACAAGACUCGAACCUUGAUCACCAAAUUUAAAAUAUAGCACUUACAUCACUAUGCUAACUACACUUAUAUGAUCUUAGGGUGUGCCGUGGACCAUAUGGACCACCCGCUGGGUCCGUCCCUGGUUGUCCACCGAUCAGGCUCCAGUUUUCUUGCUGAGUUCGUUAUGCUCGCGAAUGGAAUGAAACUGGCGACUGGGACCCACCAGGCAGCGACGACGGACAAGAUGCAUGCGCGACUCAUACGCGGAGUCUAUUCGACCGACGCACCGGGCCCACGCGUCACUGACCCAUAGAAAAAGAAAAGCGGACAAGGCAAUUGGGCCGGUGUGGGAUGUGGUAAAAGUGGGCCGCAUGGCAAGGUGUCGGCCCAGGACCAGGUUUUAGAUUUUUUUUCUUUUCUUUUCUUUUAUUCAUUUUUGAUUUCUUUCUCAAAUCCAAAGCUUAGUAGUUGAAUUCAGUUUUGGUGUGAGUUUCACAUAUAGACCAAAUGCACAAAUAAAAACACCAACAUGAAGAAGUGAUUUUAUUAUUUUAUAUAUUUUUUUCUUCAUAGUGUAUAUUGUUUUCCUUUUGUUCUCUUUCCUUUUUCUUUUCUAUAUUCCAUUUCUUUUAUAUUUUCAUUUUGAAUUCAAAUUCAAACUUGGUUUUGGAUUUCAAAUUCAGUUUAAGUUUGAUAGAUCUAAAUGCACAAGCAAUAAAAUCCCAACAUGAUGCAAGGUUUAUUUUAAUUAAUUUAUGUUGACCCUCUAAAGAUAAUAUAACCAAUUAGUUUGGAAAUAACACAUUUUUGUGUUUGGAGUUCAAAUUUUAAUUUCUAGUUUCCAAUCAAAAUUUUGAGUUAUUAAAAUCUUAUAAUUAUCAUUCCUUUUUAUUCUAGUAGAAGGUAAUGGGAAGUUCCUAUCAUAAAUUAUUUUAAUCCAAAUACUUUAAAGAGUGCUCUAAAUACAUAGCUUAUAAAGGAAGGAUUAGAUUGCAUUAUUUUUAAAGGGGUUAGCUUAACCAUUUUUUAAAAAAAUAAAUUUCCCCCCUUAUUUUCCUUAAUUAGGUAUGCACAAAGGAAAGAAAUUUAAAUAAUUCCCACAACACUUAACAUAUAGUAUACUUAUUUACUUAUCUUGUUACUUUUCCAUUGCACAGAUUUUGGGCUUUACAAAUCCUACCCCCCUUAAAAAUAAUCUCGUCCUCGAGAUUAGUAAGAAAAGGGAUAUACACAGAUUGUUUUGGUAAUUGAGAUUCUAGUUUCUAAUUGGUUCUAAAUGAAUAAUUUUUUCUUUAAUUAGUAGGUGAUUAGAAAAGCAUGGGUAUCUUUUAUGUGUAGCCACCCAAUUAUGUAGGAUAAAAGAUGGGUAGGUUAGGGUAAGAAUAGUUUGGUGUAAGAAAGUUUAUGGUGAAAAGAACUCCGGGCUGGGUGGUAAUGCAUCCGAGGGUCGAGUUUGACUUCUCUCCUUCCUUGACAAGGUUGAUCUUUUUCUUUUCCGGUCUUGGUCUCAUUGAGUCGGGGUCAGUGUAUAUCAACGAAGUUGGGGGAAUAUGGUUAAGAUAGAUAUAGGUGAGAUAGACUACAUGAUGUUGGUCAAAAACUUGUUUGAUGUUAGGUGGGGAUAGAUAGAUUAUGCAAUUCAUCAUGACUCUACUGGUUGAGUUAGAUCUUUUGUUCAUGGUUGGUGACAAGUAGGUAGAGCAGCUGGUUUAGUAGGUGGCUUAAGAAUUAAAUGAGAUUAGUCAGAAUCUAGUUUGGUUGUUUGAUUCUAGAUUGGUUGGAUAAGUUGGUAACCUGUUAUGCAGGUCAAGUUGUUGUGUAUAGCCGAGUUGAUCUAAGACACUAAUUUAGGCUUAAUUGUCUCAGGAGUAUGGCCUUAUCCUUUGUACCAGCAUUAAGUAACACACACUAGAUUAGAUCAAAAUAGGAACUAGAUUAGAUCGGUAUAACUAGGUUAGACUAGAUAAUAUCUAAUUACUUUGGAUUAGAUCAUGGUUGUUACACUAGUGUGGGAUAAAUAUGCUUAUUAGGGCAAGAUGAAUCCAUAAGGAUAAGGUAGAAUCUUUUGAGGUCAGUUAGAUCUAUUAGGAUAAGAUAAAAUCUUUUCAAGAUAAGAUGAAUCUAUUAGGGUAAGAGAGUAUCUUUUAAGAUAAGAUGGAUCUUAUGAAGCUAGAUAUAUUGAAAGGGAAUUAGGCUUACACCUAUAUUCUUAAUUGAUUUUGGUGGUUGAAUUACCCAACACAAAUAAUUGGACUAACUAGUUUGCCCAAGUCUAUAAGUUCUACAGGUACCAAAGGUUCACCAUAAGCCAAUAAAAAGAUCAAGAGAAAGGGUUCAAACAAAGGAGCAAAGGAACAACCGAAGGCACCCUGGUCGGGCGCACCGGACUGUCCGGUGUGCCACCGGACAGUGUCCGGUGCACCAGGGGAUUCCAAAACUGAACUUCGCACCUUCGGGAAAACUCAGAGCCGUCGCGCUAUAAUUCACCUGUCCGGUGUACACCGGACAGUGUCCGGUGCCCCAAGGGAACGCGACUCUGAACUCGCCAGCUUCGGGAAAUCGCAACGGCUGCUCCACUAUAAUUCACCGGACAUGUCCGGUGCACACCAGACUGUCCGGUGUGACAACGAAGCAACAGAUACUUCGGCGCCAACGGCUACCUGUAGGCGCAUUGAAUGCGCGCCAGCGCGCGCAGAAGUCAGACACGCCCAUGCUGGCGCACCGGACACUCUACAGUGCAUGUCCGGUGCGCCACCGGACAUCCAGGCGGGCCCAGCAGUCAGAGCUCCAAAGGUCGGAACCCUAACGUGCGGGUGACAUGGCUGGCGCACCGGACUGUCCGGUGCACCAUGCGACAGACAGCCUCCACCCAAACGGCUAGUUUGGUGGUUGGGGUUAUAAAUACCCCCAACCACCCCACAUUCAAGUUAUCCAAGUUUUUCCACUUCAACUACUUACAAGAGCUCUAGCAUUCAAUUCUAGACACACCCAAGUGAUCAAAUCCUCUCCAAACUCCACACAACGCCCUAGUGAUUAGAGAGAGAUAUUUGCUUGUGUUCUUUCGAGCUCUUGCGCUUGGAUUGCUUUCUUCUUUCUUUGAUUCUUCAUUGCGAUCAAACUCACUUGUAAUUGAGGCAAGAGACACCAAUCUUGUGGUGGUACUUGUGGGAACUUUGUGUUCCAAGUGAUUGAGAAGGAAAGCUCACUCGGUCCGAGGGACCGUUUGAGAGAGGGAAAGGGUUGAAAGAGACCCGGUCUUUGUGACCACCUCAACGGGGAGUAGGUUUGCAAGAACCGAACCUCGGUAAAACAAAUCCUCAUGUCUCACUCCUUAUUCGCUUGCGAUUUGUUUUGCACCCUCUCUCGCGGACUCGAUUAUAUUUCUAACGCUAACCCGGCUUGUAGUUGUGAUUAUUUUUGAGAAUUUCAGUUUCGCCCUAUUCACCCCCCCUCUAGGCGACUUUCAAUUGGUAUAAGAGCCCGAUACUUCAUUAGAGCCUAACCGCUCGAAGUGAUGUCGGGAGAUCACGCCAAGAAGGAGAUGGAGACCGGCGAAAAGCCCACUACAAGCAACGAGAAAGCUCUAUCGGGAGAGUCCCGCAACAAGGAGAAGAAGAAGGAGAAGAAGAAGGAAAAGAAGACUUCUUCCAACAAGUCGCAUCGGAGUGGCGACAAGAUAAAGAAGAUGGGGAAGGUGGUCUACUACGAGACCGACACCUCAUCGCCAUCUACCUCCGGCUCCGACGCACCCUCCAUAACUUCGAAGCGCCAUGAGCGCAAGAAGUUUAGUAAGAUCCCCUUACAUUAUCCUCGUACUUCUAGACAUACUCCAUUACUUUCCGUUCCAUUAGGCAAACCGCCAACCUUUGACGGUGAAGAUUAUGCUAGGUGGAGUGAUUUAAUGAAAUUUCAUCUAACCUCACUCCACAAAAGUAUAUGGAAUGUUGUUGAGUUUGGAGCACAGGUACCAUCCGUAGGAGAUGAGGAUUAUGAUGAGGACGAGGUGGCCCAAAUCGAGCACUUUAACUCCCAAGCCACAACCAUGCUCCUCGCCUCUCUAAGUAGGGAGGAAUACAACAAGGUGCAAGGAUUAAAAAGCGCCAAGGAAGUUUGGGACGUGCUCAAGACCGCGCACGAGGGUGAUGAACUCACCAAGAUCACCAAGCGGGAAACGAUCGAGGGGGAGCUCGGUCGCUUCCGUCUUCGCCAAGGGGAGGAGCCACAAGAUAUGUACAACCGGCUCAAAACCUUGGUGAACCAAGUGCGCAACCUCGGGAGCAAGAAAUGGGAUGAUCACGAGGUGGUUAAGGUUAUUCUAAGAUCACUCAUUUUCCUUAACCCUACUCAAGUACAAUUAAUUUGUGGUAAUCCUAGAUAUACACUAAUGACUCCCGAGGAAGUAUUCGGGAAUUUUGUGAGCUUUGAAUUUAUGAUCAAGGGCUCACGGAAGAUCAACGAGCUUGACGAUCCUUCCACGUCCGAAGCUCAACCGGUCGCAUUCAAAGAGACGGAAGAGAAGAAGGAGGAGUCUACACCGAGUAGAACACCCAUCGACACCUCCAAGCUCGACAACGAGGAAAUGGCGCUUGUCAUCAAAAGCUUUCGCCAAAUCCUAAAGCAAAGGAGGGGGAAAGGUUACAAGCCCCGUUCCAAGAAGGUUUGCUACAAGUGUGGUAAGCCCGGUCACUUUAUUGCAAAAUGUCCUAUUUCUAGUGACAGUGACAGGGGCGAUGACAAGAAGGGGAGAAGAAAGGAGAAGAAGAGAUACUACAAGAAGAAGGGCGGGGAUGCCCAUGUUUGUCGAGAGUGGGACUCCGACGAAAGCUCUAGCAACUCCUCCUCCGACGAGGACGCCGCCAACAUCGUCGUCACCAAGGGACUUCUCUUCCCCACCGUCGGCCACAAGUGCCUCAUGGCAAAGGACGACAAAAAGAAGAAGGUUAAAUCUAAAUCCUCCACUAGAUAUGAGUCUUCUAGUGAUGAAAAUGCUAGUGAUGAGGAAGAUAACUUGCGCACUCUUUUUGCCAACUUAAACAUGCAACAAAAGGAGAAGUUAAAUGAUUUAAUUAGUGCCAUCCAUGAGAAGGAUGAUCUCUUGGACUCCCAAGAGGACUUCCUAAUCAAGGAAAACAAAAAGCAUGUUAAAGUUAAAAAUGCUUAUGCUCUAGAAGUUGAAAAAUGUGAAAAACUAUCUAGUGAGCUAAGCACUUGCCAUGAGACAAUUGACAACCUUAGAAAUGAGAAUACUAAUUUGUUAGCUAAGGUUGAUUCUAUUGCUUGUAAUGUUUCAAUUCCCAAUCUUAGAAAUGACAAUGAUGAUUUACUUGCUAAGAUUGAAGAAUUAAACAUGUCUCUCGCUAGCCUUAGGAUUGAAAAUGAAAAAUUGCUUGCUAAGGCUAAAGAACUAGAUGCUUGCAAUACUACUAUUUCCGACCUUAGAACUAAAAAUUAUAUAUUGCAUGCUAAGGUUGUAGAAUUAAAAUCUUGCAAACCCUCUACAUCAACCGUUGAGCACACUUCUAUUUGUACUAGAUGUAGAGAUGUUGAUGUUAAUGCUAUUCAUGAUCACAUGGCCUUAAUUAAACAACAAAAAUGAUCAUAUAGAAAAACUAGAUGCUAGAAUUGCCGAGCAUGACUUAGAAAAUGAAAAAUUUAAAUUUGCUAGAAGCAUGCUCUAUAGAGGGAGACGCCCUGGCAUUAAGGAUGGCAUUGGCUUCCAACAGGGAGGCAAUGUCAAACUUAAUGCCCCACCUAAGAAAUUGUCUAAUUUUGUUAAGGGCAAGGCUCCCAUGCCUCAAGAUAACGAGGGUUACAUUUUGUACCCUACCGGUUAUCCUGAAAGCAAAAUUAGAAGAAUUCACUCUAGGAAGUCUCACUCUGGCCCUAAUCAUGCUUUUAUGUAUAAGGGUGAGACGUCUAGUUCUAGGCAACCAACCCGUGCUAAGUGCCUAAGAAGAAAACUCCUAGUGCAUCAAAUGAUCAUAGCAUUUCAUUUAAAACUUUUGAUGCAUCUUAUGUUUUAACUAACAAAUCCGGCAAGGUAGUUGCCAAAUAUGUUGGGGGCAAGCACAAGGGGUCGAAGACUUGUGUUUGGGUACCCAAAGUUCUUGUAUCUAAUGCCAAAGACCCAAAAUCAUUUGGGUACCUAAAGUCAAGAACUAAACAUGUUUUGUAGGUUUAUGCAUCCGGGGGCUCAAGUUGGAUCAUCGACAGCGGGUGCACAAACCACAUGACAGGGGAGAAGAAGAUGUUCUCCUCCUACGAGAAAAACCAAGAUCACCAACGAGCUAUCACAUUCGGGGAUGGAAAUCAAGGUUUGGUCAAAGGAUUAGGUAAAAUUGCUAUAUCUCCUGACCAUUCUAUUUCAAAUGUUUUUCUUGUAGAUUCAUUAGAUUACAAUUUGCUUUCUCUAUCUCAAUUAUGCAAAAUGGGCUACAGCUGUCUCUUUACUGAUGUAGGUGUCACUGUCUUUAGAAGAAGUGAUGAUUCAAUAGCAUUUAAGGGUGUGUUAGAGGGUCAGCUAUACUUAGUAGAUUUUGAUAGAGCUGAACUCGACACAUGCUUAAUUGCUAAGACUAACAUGGGUUGGCUCUAGCACCGCCGACUAGCACAUGUUGGGAUGAAGAAUCUUCAUAAGCUUCUAAAGGGAGAGCACAUUUUAGGAUUAACCAAUGUUCAUUUUGAGAAAGACAGGAUUUGUAGCGCAUGCCAAGCAGGUAAGCAAGUUGGUGCCCAUCAUCCACAUAAGAACAUCAUGACGACCGACAGGCCACUGGAGCUCCUACACAUGGAUCUAUUCGGCCCGAUAGCUUAUAUAAGCAUCGGCGGGAGUAAGUACUGUCUAGUUAUUGUGGACGUUUAUUCUCGCUUCACUUGGGUGUUCUUUUUGCAGGAAAAAUCUCACACCCAAGAGACCUUAAAGGGAUUCUUGAGACGGGCUCAAAAUGAGUUCGGCUUGAGGAUCAAGAAAAUUAGAAGCGACAAUGGGACGGAGUUCAAGAACUCACAAAUCGAAGGCUUCCUUGAGGAGGAGGGCAUCAAGCAUGAGUUCUCUUCUCCCUACACCCCACAACAAAAUGGUGUAGUGGAGAGGAAGAAUAGAACUCUAUUGGACAUGGCCAGAACCAUGCUUGAUGAGUACAAGACUUCGGAUCGGUUCUGGGCCGAGGCGGUCAACACCGCCUGCUACGCCAUCAACCGGUUAUAUCUUCACCGAAUCCUCAAGAAGAAAUCAUAUGAACUCCUAACCGGUAAAAAGCCCAAUAUUUCAUAUUUUAGAGUCUUUGGUAGCAAAUGCUUUAUUCUUGUUAAAAGAGGUAGAAAAUCUAAAUUUGCUCCUAAGACAGUAGAAGGCUUUUUACUAGGAUAUGAUUCAAACACAAGGGCAUAUAGAGUCUUUAACAAGUCCUCUGGACAAGUUGAAGUUUCUUGUGACGUUGUGUUUGAUGAGACUAACGGCUCUCAAGUAGAGCAAGUUGAUCUUGACGAGAUAGGUAUUGAAGAGGCUCCAUGCAUCGCGCUAAGGAACAUGUCCAUUGGGGAUGUGUGUCCUAAGGAAUCCGAAGAGCCUCCAAAUGCACAAGAUCAACCAUCCUCCUCCAUGCAAGCAUCUCCACCAACUCAAAAUGAGGAUGAGGCUCAAGUUGAUGAAGGAGAAGAUCAAGCAAAUGAGCCACCUCAAGAUGACGACAAUAAUCAAGGGGGAGAUGCAAAUGAACAAGACAAGGAGGAUGAAGAACCAAGGCCACCACACCCAAGAGUCCACCAAGCAAUCCAACGAGAUCACCCCGUCGACACCAUCCUCGGCGACAUUCAUAAGGGGGUAACCACUCGAUCUCGUGUUGCACAUUUUUGUGAGCAUUACUAUUUUGUUUCCUCUAUUGAGCCACACAGGGUAGAGGAAGCACUACAAGAUUCGGAUUAGGUGGUGGCUAUGCAAGAGGAGCUCAACAACUUCACGAGGAAUGAGGUAUGGCAUUUAGUUCCACGUCCUAAUCAAAAUGUUGUAGGAACCAAAUGGGUGUUCCGCAACAAGCAAGACGAGCAUGGUGUGGUGACAAGGAACAAAACACGACUUGUGGCCAAGGGAUACUCCCAAGUCGAAGGUUUGGAUUUCGGUGAAAUCUAUGCACCCGUAGCUAGGCUUGAGUCAAUUCGUAUAUUAUUGGCCUAUUGAGAGUACCUAGAGGGGGGGGUGAAUAGGUGAUCCUGGGAAACUUAAACUUAUAGCCACAAAACUUGGUUAAGAGUGUUAGCACAAUUAUUGCCAAGUGGCUAGAGAGGAGCCAGAACACAAUAACCACAAGAAUUCAAGCACAGAGAUGACACGGUGGUUAUCCCGUGGUUCGGCCAAGUACAAAACUUGCCUACUCCACGUUGUGGCGUCCCAACGGACGAGAGUUGCACUCAACUCCUCUCAAGUGAUCCAAUGAUCAACUUGAAUACCACGGUGUUCUUCUUUCCUUUGAUCUUUUCCCGUUUGCGAGGAAUCUCCACAACUUGGAGUCUCUCGCCCUUACAAUUGAGUUUCACAAAGAAGCACGGAGUAAGGGAGGGAAGCAACACACACAAAACCACAGCAAAAUGCGCACACACACGGCCAAGAAUCGAGCUCAAAAGACUAUCUCGAAGUUCUCACUAGAACAGAGCUCGAAUCACUUAGAAUGACAAACAAAUGCGCAAAGACUGAGUGUGGAUGAUCAAGAUUGCUCUAAGGUUGCUUGGUGUACUCCUCCAUGCGCCAAGGGGUCCCUUUUAUAGCCCCAAGGCAGCUAGGAGCCGUUGGGAACAAAUCUGGAAGGCCAUCUUUGCCUUCUGUCUCGUGGCGCACCGGACAGUCCGGUGCACACCGGACAGUCCGGUGCCCGAUUUGUUUCCAUAAAAAGCUCAUCCGACCGUUGCUUUCUGAUGCAGAUCUGCGCACAGUUGGCGCACCGGACAUGUCCGGUGCACACCGGACAGUCCGGUGUACCUUUCCGACUGUUGGCUCGGCCACGUGUCGCGCGCCGAUCGCGCGGCCGACCGUUGGCCCGGCCGACCGUUGGCUCACCGGACAGUCCGGUGCACACCGGACAGUCCGGUGAAUUUUAGCCGAAGUCGCGGGAGAAAAACCCGAGAGCGGCUGGUUUGCUCCACGCUGGUCUGGCGCACCGGACACUGUCCGGUGCACACCGGACAGUCCGGUGCCCCAGCCCGAAACAGCCUUUGGCUGUACACAGCCACUCUCCACUUCUUUUCUUUUCUUCUUCUUCCUGUUUCUAACACUUAGACAAGAUAUUAGUACACAAAACCAAUGUACUAAGGCUUAGAAACAUACCUUUACUUGUGAUUUGCACUUUGUUCAACCAUGGGCACAUUUUCACAUUUAAGCACUUGUGUUUGCACUCAAUCACCAAAAUACUUAGAAAUGGUCCAAAGGCACAUUUCCCUUUCAAUCUCCCCCUUUUUGGUGAUUUAUGCCAACACAACAUAGAGCAACUAGAACAAGUGCAAAAUCACUUCAAAUAAAAACUAACUUUGAGUUUUAUCCAAUUUUGGCAUAUAUGGAUCAUCUUUUGCCACCACUUGGUUUGUUUUUGCAAAUCAAACUCAAAUCUCUAUCUCUAAGUCAAACACACAUGUUGAAGCAUAAAGAGAGUCAUUUCAAAAGAGAUUGAUCAAAGAUUUCAAAAACUCCCCCUAAAUCCCAUAAUCAAUACUUCUCCCCAC